rnacentral:lncRNA from 1 species
UCCAGGGAAGAGCUCGCUGCGUUGUAUCUGACUGCUGGGUCCCCGUGGCUCUGGCAGCACAGCAAGUGCGGUUAGUAGUGCUAGUGACUUUGCCUCUCGAGAGAAGGACAACCAAGAUCAUGCCUCCCCUGUCAUGUAGUGUAUAAUUACCUCUUGUUUUCUCCUUUGUCAGAGCGUGUAUGAACUCUCUGGAUUCUAGUCGUCAUCAGACUCUCAAUUAAGAUGUGGUUAAGGACACCAAAUUGCUGUUGUAUAGUUUUUAAGUCGAAAUUAUGCUCUAGUGUCUCAGUGCUCGAACCUAGGCCGGGGCGAAAAAUGUACUACUCCAUUCGAUCCAAAUUACUUUUUGCUCAUAUGGAUAUAUAUCUAACUGAAAUACAUCUAGAUACACCUGUUUGAACGACAAAUAAUAUAGAUCAAAAGGAGUAAUAGCGAUUCCAACAUUUCUUCAUUCGUACUCCGCUUUGUUAUUUGUACGCAAGACGAUGGAGGUUCUCUAAGAGCAACUAGCACCAUAGAAUAUGCAGUUCUAAGAGCAACUAGCACCAUAGAAUAUGCAGUGCUCCACACUUGGGUGAUCGAAUGUCCAAAAAGUCAAUUUCAAUUGUUUCAGAAAGAUAUGAAAAAAAUGUGAAUGUUCACAAGGCAUGUGUCAACAGCUUAUAAAAAAUUUCAAAUUCAACCUCAAAAUACACAUCGGGAAAAAAAGAAGAAGACAAAUUCAACAUGAAUAGUGCCAUUGAAAGACAAACAAAAAUGGCGCUGUUCACUUCUAGAUUUAUCUUUCUUUUUUCAACGUGUAUUUCGAAUUUGGAUAAUAAAAAAGACCAACCCGCGUAGCGGGGGUAAAGUUUCAACUUCUUCUUACCUAGCCCUCCUCUAUUUUAAUGGUGAUGCGGUCUGUACCAGUUCUGCAGGCACAAAAACCUACUGGAAAUCUACCCAUUAACGACCCUCAUUGCGUAUCCAGCCCCUCCAUUUCCUGCAUCGCCCACUUGGUUUCAGCCAUGUUACAAGGGAGAGAGAGGUUUGGUGGAAUAGUUCGUUGUAUUGCUUGAGCCUCGUGGGCAUAUAUAUAGGAGUACAAUCAUCUACUUAGAGUACAAGACAAGCCAGAACAAAUCCUAAUCCAUCUCGUCUUUCCUAAUAAACAUUAUACUCAACAUCCCCCCGCAGUCACAACGGUAGCGACGCAGACGGUGAGACUGGAGAAGAAUCCGAAGGCAAGCCGAUGGACACCCCCCACAGUCGUAACGGUCGACGCAUCGCGGAAGUCGUGGCUGGAGUAGAAACCGACGAGGUUGCUCAAGCAAGGUGGUAGCCCUUUGUGCCGUUUGUCGAUGUAGCCGAGAACGUAUGUGGUGGAGCCGUGGUCGAGGUAGCCGUGCGAAGAAUGCCGUGGUCGAUGUCGAGUCGGGGUAGCCGGUGUCGAGGAAGUCACCGUGGAGCCGCGGGCGCAAGGGGGCGCCGAGUUAGCAUGGGCGUAGUGGUGUCGAAGUAGUGGUGCGCCGGGAAGAAGAUGUUGUUGACGACGUGUCGCGGCGGGUUUGCCAAGCCCCGGGACACAUCGUAGACGAAGGCACGCGUCGGUUUUGCCAGCACCGGGCAUGCGUAGAAGGACGAAGGCGAAGGUGACGAAGUGCCGCACCAGGCUUGCCAGGCCCGGGGACACGUCGUGGACGAAGGCACACGACGGUGUUGCCAGCACCGGACAUGCGUAGACUGGGACCUGCACGGGCUGUACACCAUGUCAAAGAGGUCGGAGAGGCCAGCAGAGAAGGUCUCGAUGUCAAUCGGCGCGGGGCCAAUGUCGCCCGCGGUUGUCGAAGUAGAUGAAGCGGUCGGGGUAGAUGACGGCGACGCUGGCGACGAGCUGGUGCUGGACGAAGACGAAGGGGGUGGACGGGCGGCGGCGGCUACGGAGGUGGCGGCGGCGGCGGCCAAAGAAGAGCGGCAGCGGCGGCUAGGUUAGGAGUGCGGCGGCGGUGCUCGAAGUAGGCGAAGAACCCUGACAGCGUGACGAAGACCGGCGCGGACGGUGGCGUUCCCCCGCCAAGGGAGACAGCGCGGUGCAUACCACGGUAGGUCGACGCGCGGUGACGGCUGUCGGUGUCAAAACCGGCGGAUCGCGGGUAGGGGGUCCCGAACUGUGCGUCUAAGGCGGAUGGUAACAGGAGGCGGGGGACACAAUGUUUACCCAGGUUCGGGCCCUCUCGAUGGAGGUAAUACCCUACUUCCUGCUUGAUUGAUCUUGAUGAUAUAAGUAUUAGAAGAGUUGAUCAACCACGAGAUCGUAGAGGCUAAAACCCUAGAAGCUAGCCUAUGAUAUGAUUGUUGUUGUCCUAUGGACUAAACCCUCCGGUUUAUAUAGACACUGGAGGGGGCUAGGGUUACACAGAGUCGGUUACAAGGGAGGAGAUCUACAUAUCCGUAUUGCCAAGCUUGCCUUCCACGCCAAGGAGAGUCCCAUCCGGACACGGGACGAAGUCUUCAAUCUUGUAUCUUCAUAGUCCAACAGUCCGCCCAAAGGAUAUAGUCCGGCUGUGCGAGGACCCCCUAAUCCAGGACUCCCUCAGUAGCCCCUGAACCAGGCUUCAAUGACGAUGAGUCCGGCGCGCAGAUUUGUCUUCGGCAUUGCAAGGCGGGUUCUUCCUCCGAAUACUCCAUAGAAGAUCUUGAACACAAGGAUAGUGUCCGGCUCUGCAAAACAAGUUCCACAUACCACUGUAGAGAGAAUAAUAUUUCCACAAAUCUAAUCUGCUGACACGUUUGGCAGCAUGACAUCAUACCACGGCCCGGUCAUUAUUCGAACCGUUUUUCUCAACCAGCUACUGCACGUAUUACGAGGCGGUUUUCUUGGCACGUCUUGUCGAAGCAGAGAUCGUGUCCCCUUAUCACGGGAUUCUCAUCAAUACGGAUGUGGGUAACCCAACCGCGCCAUCAAUUACGGCGCUUGGGGAAUAAGCGAGUUUUACCAGGCAGGUGGGGAGGCGUAUAGUUUCCGCCGCCCCUAUAAAGGGACAAGGAUUCCUCUUUUUACCCACGCCUUCUUCCUCCUUGCUCAUCCAUUCUUGCGCACUCGAGCUCCAGCACCCAAGUUCGCGUUUUUUCCCUCAAACCACUCCAAGCAUGUCCGGAGCGGGAGGCAAGUGGAUGGUCUCCUCCGUCACGGAGGAGAACAUCACAAAGCUACGGGGAGCCGGAUAUCUGGCAGCGGACAUCGCACACCGGCUGCCAGAUGCGGGGCAGAUCAUCCCUAUGCCUGAACCCCAUGAGAGGGUGGUUUUCCUUACCCACUUUGUCCGCGGACUGGGAUUUCCCCUCCACCCGUUUGUCCGCGGGCUCAUGUUCUACUACGGGCUGGAUUUUCACGAUCUGGCCCCCAAUUUCAUCCUCAACAUCUCAGCGUUUAUCGUCGUGUGCGAGGCCUUCCUCCGCAUCAGGCCCCACUUCGGCCUGUGGCUGGAGACCUUCAAUGUUAAACCAAAGGUGGUGGUCGGCCAGCAAGUGGAGUGCGGAGGCGCCAUGGUGGGCAAAAUGCCUAAUGUCACCUGGCUUGAAGGCUCCUAUGUGGAGACCAUAAAGGGGUGGCAAUCGGGGUGGUUCUACAUCACCGAGCCGCGCGACACCAACUGGGUGGCGGCCCCCGAAUUCCGAUCCGGAAUCCCCACGCGGCUCACCUCCUGGAAAGAGAAGGGCCUGUCCUGGGGUUCAUCGGUGGAGCUGACCGGACUCCAGAAAUGCAUCAGAAACAUGAUGAGCAAGAAAAUCAAGCUUGUCAACGUGGUCCAGGUCAUGCUCUUCUGCCGGAUCCUCCCGUGUCAACGACGGGCAUUCAAUUUGUGGGAGUUCGACCCGGCCGAGCACCAGACGCUGCGAGAGCUCUUCGACACGACGCACAAGGACGUCUGGAAGGUGCUGUUCAAGGGCGCCGGGGUACCUCCUCCCCUUACCGAGGACCGCGGACUCAGCGCAAAGCGCCAUGCCAAUCCGGUAAGUUUUUUAUAUCUCACAGGAUGUUUUAUUUUCCCCAGUUUAAUCAUGUGCGGGAUCUAAGCCUCCAUGCCAUUAACAGGACUGGGUAGAGACAGCGGAGCAGAUCGAUUGCCCAGCCCCCCUGCCUGAGGAUCCAGCAGAUGCUCUCUUAACGGAGAUGCUGGUUCCGGCGCCUUACGAGGUGCCGGUGAAGAAGGCCAAGAAGAAGGCCACGGGGACCCGGAAGGGUCUCCGGCGCAAGGUUAUAUCGGACUCAUCGUCCGAAAACUCCGAGGCGCACUCCUCCCACAAAAACGAGGAGGAGGAAGAGGAAAGUUCUCCCCCCCAGCCGGGGGAGACAAGAAAAGGAAGGCCGCCCCAUCCGGGGAGGCCGAAGGGUCCAAGAAGGGAAGGACCCUCCUCCCGGACUGCUCCACGAUGGCCGCCUACAGCGACGACGAGUGGUUGCCCAGGGACAAGCCCCUGGCGAAGUCGUAAGUAUCCGGAUACCAUAGCAAUUCAUGGUAUGUUUUAUUGCACUGCUUCUCAUCACGCCGAACAUGAUUAUGCAGUCCGUCCCGAGCCCGUAUCGACGUAUCUUCGUCGGAUGGUUCUUUGGACCCGUCGGAUAUGAAUAGCGAUUCACUUCCGACCGCCUCCACCCCUCGCCCUAUGGACAACGUCGAGGUGUUGUCUCAAAGGGCACCGAGCCGAGGGGAGGUAGUCCUGGAGGCGCCUCGAAGCGACAUUCCGGACCCUGGGCGCAAAGGGAGCAAGACUCCCCUGGGCUCCGAAUUCGGCCUACAGCCGAACACUGCGCCGGAACCUCCAGUGGUUCCGGACUCUGUUAGGCGACCCCCCGUUAAGAGGGGCAAGCCGCCCGUGCCGGUGGCCUCUGUCCAUCUAGAGGCACCGGACAACUUGCUGGAAGCGCUUCGCGGCGCUUCCAUCGACGAAGAGCACCGCACUAUCAUGAGUGCGGUGAUCGAGAAGGUUCAGUCUGCCAAAAGCGGACUAACUGAAGCUUGUGCCAGCCUCCUAACAGGCUUUCAUGUAAGUAAUCAAAUUAUAGGAAAAUAUUACCGCAUAGACAGUAGCCCCUGAUGCUCUGUUUGGCGUUCGCGAAGAAAGGCCGAAUAGAGGAUCAAAUAAUGACUCAGGAGUUUAAUCAGAAUAUGUCUAUGUGCAUAUGCAGGCUUCACUGCUGGCCGCUGCCGCACGUACUGCGGAGGUCGCUGCACUGAAGCAGGACCUUGAGCGGUCCAAGGAAGAGCUCGGCCUUACCAAGAGGCAGCUCGAAGAGAACAAAGGUAAGCGAUACCCUGUCUAUAUAUUAAAAAGAAAUUUGGUUGUAAAAUAAUAGGAUCAUCAUGAAUUUGCCAGGGGCCACGACCGAAGUGCCGACCCUGAAGAAGGCGCUGUCCGAGGCCGAAGACAAAGCGGCCAAGGAGCGCAUCGAGCGAGAAAAGCAAGAAGCCCGGGUAGGCGAGGUGCAGCAAGAGCUCCAGGCUCUCGCCAAAAAACACGAGUCCCUGGAGCUUGACUCUAAGACGCGAGAGUCCGAGCUUGCGAAGGCCCUCGAAAGCGCACAAAACGCCAAGGCUGAAGCCCACAAGGCCCGCCAGGAGAUUGAGGCGGUUAAGAAGAUAGCAGCGGGUAAGGCAUUCAUUAUGCAAAGCAAGCAUGUGAAGGAAACUUUCCUUUUACUUACCCGAGUUCGGAGCUCUCCAGGAGCGUUAGCAGAUCUUCCCCGUAGUGUGUUGGAGGCCGCGGAGUUUUACCAGGCUGAGGAGGGGAGCUCGACGGAGAAGUUGUUCUGGUCUCAGUAUACUGGGACCGAACACCCAAUGUGCCCGAACAGGCCAUGAAGGGUCUUAUAGUCCGGAUGUGGCCUGGCGAUCCCCUGCCUGACAGCUACUUCGGUCUGGUGAGGCGGCUUGUGAAUGCCUGCCCACGGCUUGAAGUCAUAAAGUGGUCCGUCUGCAUCGAGGGUGCGCGCAGGGCUUUUGCCCGGGCGAGGGUGCACUGGGCGAAGCUCGACGCCGUAAAGCUGGUGAAGGAGGGGCCGCCGGAAGGCAAGGAGCAUCGCCACCCCGAAAUGUAUUAUGACAGUGUCCUGAAGGGUUCCCGCCUUGUGGCGGAGGAAUGUGCUAAAGAUGUAAUAUUUGAAUGAACGUACUCAUGUGAUCCUGUAGUAUGAAACGAGUUCAUUUGCGCUAUGCAACGCUUUUGAAUUUAAAAUAUUACCUUCUGUGCGGCCGUUUAUAAAAUCUGAGAGUUGGUCAGUCGUCGAUUUCUGCCCCCAUGUAACUAGUACUGGGGUGUUCGGGAUAAACCUGAACACUCUUUAUCCCAAUUUUGGGUCCUUCGAGGGAGGUGUUCAGCACAACGAACCAGGCAAUUGGACUAUAAGGCCUUAUCACUCUCACUUAGCCAUAGAAGUCUACAAUUUUAAAUUUUGGCGAAGCCCCUAGUAUCCCGAAGGCCGAAUUUGGGGCGCUAUAUACGCCUAAGUCGGGCAAGGCCGACUCCUCGACCGAAGCGGAAAAAGUCUUUAAGGACUUGAGACCUCUCGAACAACGACCAGCUCUCGCCUUAUCAUGACAGUCAGUUUCCGGCUUUCUCUAUUGAGGUGCUCGUCCGGAAGAACCGGGACACAAUCGCAGUAGUUCUCUCAGCGCUACCUUAGCCGAUAUUGCGGAAUGUAAGGUACCAAAACAUGGGAGCCGGGCAAACCCAACUAUUGACCCAAGACAUGAUUCGGAGCUGAUGCAUAUAAUGCUAUAAGUUCCGGGUGCCGCACUGUCGAAAGUGUUCGGACUUCUCACGCUGUAUUAUGGGGUAUACUGAAGCCCCUGGCGUACUGGUCGUACCAGAAUGUACGGGUGCAAGUUGUCGUAAAUAAACAGACAAGAAAAAGUAAGGGUAAUGCAAUAAUAGACUAAUGCUAUGCAUUAUUAUUUAAAUAAUACGUCGAAGCGUACUGAUACAAGUAGUGUAAUAAGCAAAAAAUAGGACUAUUUGACAUGUCCUAUCCAAGGGUAAGCUGCGUAUGGGUAUUAAAAAUGGGUACUUCGAUUGUUAUCAGAGACCACCUGGGGAUUCCCUUGUACGUCUUAGCUUCUUGCCUCCUUGGGUGUUCCUUCCCGUAAUGUGUCUAGCAAUCAGACUGCCGGAAAGGGCUUCCAGAGAGUAAGGUCCCGAAAGAGAGGAAAUGAUAAAGGUAUACAUCCCCUGGGGCGGUUGAGCCGCAUUGUGGGACGUGCCCUGGUCGUGCCCCCGCCUAUGCCCAUGGUAUUUUUAGUGCGUAAUUAUGUACGCGCGGCGUAAAUUUCGUCGCUUGAUUGGGACUAGGACGGAGGCCGAAUUGCUAGGCAAGCUCUGAACGUGCCAGGCGAUCCUGUUGCAGGUUACUCCGGACUCGCUUAAAGGUGUCCGGGGGCUUUAUCGCCGAAUUGGCGGUUUGCCUUAAAAGGCUGCUUUGUGCUUUUGCUGCGAGGGCCGCGGUGUGCUCCUCCAUGCGGAGCGAGCGUUCUGUGUUUCCAUUGACUGUUAUAACCCCCUAGGUCCUGGCAUCUUGAGCUUGAGGUAUGCAUAAUGCGGUACCGCAUUGAAUCUUGCAAAUGCGGUUCGCCCGAGCAGUGCGUGAUAGCCACUGCGGAACGGGACGAUAUCGAAGAUUAACUGCUCGCUUCGGAAGUUGUCCGGAGAUCCGAAGACCACUUCCAGUGUGUUUGAGCCCGUGCAAUGGGCCUCUACACCUGGGAUGACGCCUUUAAAGGUGGGUUUGGUGGGUUUGAUCCUCGAGGGGUCUAUGCCCAUUUUGCGCACUGUAUCCUGAUAGAGCAGGUUUAGGCUGCUGCCGCCGUCCAUAAGGACUCAAGUGAGGUGAAAUCCGUCAAUGAUGGGGUCUAGGACCAAUGCGGCAGAUCCGCCAUGACGGAUACUAGUGGGGUGGUCCCUGCGAUCGAAGGUGAUCGGACAAGAGGACCAUGGGUUGAACUUUGGGGCGACAGGCUCCAUCGCAUAGACGUCCCUUAGUGCAUGCUUCCGUUCCCUCUUGGGAAUGUGGGUUGCGUAUAUCAUGUUCACCGUCUUCACUUGUGGGGGGAACCUCUUCUGUCCUCCCGUGUUCGGCGGCCGGGGCUCCUCCUCGUCGUCGCUAUGCAGCCCCUUGUCCCUGUUUUCGGCAUUCAACUUGCCGGCCUGCUUGAACACCCAGCAUUCUCUGCUGGUGUGAUUGGCUGGCUUAUCGGGGGUGCCGUGAAUUUGGCACGAGCGAUCGAGUAUGCGGUCCAAACUGGACGGGCCCGGAUUGCUUCUUUUGAAUGGCUUCUUCCGCUGACCGGAUUUAGAGCCGCUGAAUCCGGCAUUGACUGCCGUGUCCUCGGCAUUGUCGCCGUUGUUGCGGCGCUUGUGUCUGUUACAACGUGGUCAGCCGUUAGUAUCCUUUGUAUCUGAAGUGCCAUGACUUCUUGAUGUGUUGUUGCUGCGAGCCAGCCAGCUGUCUUCGCCCGCGCAAAAGCGGGUCAUGAGCGUCGUGAGGGCUGCCAUAGACUUCGACUUCUCCUGGCCGAGGUGCCGGGCGAGCCACUCGUCACGGAUGUUAUGCUUAAAUGCCGCUAAGGCCUCUGCAUCCGGACAGUCGACAAUUUGGUUUUUCUUAGUUAAGAACCGGGUCCAGAAUUGCCUGGCCGAUUCCCCUGGCUGCUGAGUUAUAUGGCUCAAGUCAUCAACAUCCGGUGGUCGCACAUAAGUGCCCUGGAAGUUGUCAAGGAAUACAUCUUCCAAAUCCUCCCAACUGCCAACGGAGUCUGCUGGCAAGCUAUUCAGCCAAUGCCGAGCUGGUCCUUUGAGUUUUAGUGGGAGGUACUUGAUGGCAUGUAGAUCAUCACCGCGAGCCAUGUGGAUGUGGAGGAGGAAAUCCUCGAUCCAUACCGCGGGAUCUGUUGUACAGUCAUAUGAUUCAAUAUUUACGGGUUAAAAACCCUCUGGGAAUUCGUGAUCCAUUACUUCAUUAGUGAAGCAUAGGGGGUGUGCGGCGCCUCUGUGCCGGGCUAUGUCAUGACGCAGUUCAUAUGAGUCUUGUCUGCUGUAUUCGGCCCGGCCAGAUUUGCUUUUAGUGUAUCUGGUGUGACGGUCAUCGUCCCGCGUUGGUGCGCGCCCCCGUGAUCCGUAGAUCGAUCUUGCAUGUUUUGCCUUGUUUUCCAAUACGUCUCGCAGGUUCUGCGUGUUGCCCCGGGCCUUGGUAUUUUUGGUUGAUUGGCGGCGGGGCGCGGGCUGGACUUCGCGCUGAAAUGCCUCUCUGUCUCAGCCACGAGGUGGCCGAUCAACCGCAUCAUACGCUAGUGAAGUAGGUUUCAAUGCUUCCUCCUCGAGUUGAGGUAGCAACCUGCGCUUUGGAUAACUCUUGGUUGGGUGCUCGAGUUCGUAUUCCUCGGCUGCCAGGACUUCGGUCCAUCUAUCCGCUAGCAGAUCUUGAUCAGCUCGAAGCUGUUGUUGCUUUUUCUUUAGGCUGUUUCCUGUGGCUAUAAGCCGGCGCUUGAAGCGUUCUUGCUCGACGGGAUCCUCAGGCACGACAAGUUCUUCGUCGCCGAGGCUCACUUCGUCUUCGGAGAGAGGCAUGUAAUUGGCAUCCUCUGAUUCUCCGUUUGCUGCCUGUUUCAGAGGGCUAGCUUGUUCAUCCUCCCGCUCGAGGUCUGGCUGCAGGGCAUUAUCGUCGUCUUCGGCACUAUCGGGGGCGUUAUUGUCUCUUGUGCCGGCAUCGCUGCUUUUGCUAUGGCGAGACUUAGAGCGGCGCCGCUGACGUCGGUGCUUGGGUUGCUUCUUGGAGGGAUUAUCCUCCGUUGUCUUGUCGCCAUCCCCUUCUUUGGGGGUAUCCACCAUGUAUAUAUCAUAUGAUGAGGUGGCGGUCCAGCGCCCUGUGGGCGGUGGUUCCUGUUCGUCUCCUGCAUCGUCGUCCAUACCGUCGAUGUCUUCGGAGUCGAAGUCGAGCAUGUCGGUUAAAUCGUCGACACUGGCUACUAAGUGGGUGGUGGGUGGGGAGCGAAUUUCUUCGUCGUCCGCAUCCCAUUCUAGCUGGACAUAGUUCGUGUUGGGGAACGUAGUAAUUUCAAAAAAAUUCCUACGCACACGCAAGAUCAUGGUGAUGCAUAGCAACGAGAGGGGAGAGUGUUGUCGACGUACCCUCGUAGACCGACACCGGAAGCGUUAUCACAACGCGGUUGAUGUAGUCGUACGUCUUCACGAUCCGACCGAUCAAGUACCGAACGCACGGCACCUCCGAGUUCUACACACGUUCAGCUCGAUGACGUCCCUCGAACUCCGAUCCAGCCGAGUGUUGAGGGAGAGUUUUGUCAGCACGACGGCGCGGUGACGAUGAUGAUGUUCUACCGACGCAGGGCUUCGCCUAAGCUCCGCAAUGAUAUUAUCGAGGUGUAAUUUGGUGGAGGGGGGCACCGCACACGGCUAAAAGAUCUCAAGGAUCAAUUGUUGUGUCUCUGGGGUGCCCCCUACCUCCGUAUAUAAAGGAGCAAGGGAGGAGGAGGCCGGCCCUAGGAGGGGGCGCACCAAGUGUGGAGUCCUACUAGGACUCCCUAGUCCUAGUAGGAUUCCACCUCCCAUAUGGAAUAGGAAAAGAGGAAGGGAAAAAGAGAAGGAAGGGGGCGCCCCCUUCCCUAGUCCAAUUCGGACCAGACCAAGGGGAGGGGUGCGGCCACCCUUGAGGCCCUUUUUCUUCUUUCCCGUAUGGCCCAAUAAGGCCCAAUACGUAUUCCCGUAACUCUCCGGUACUCCGAAAAAUACCCGAAUCACUUGGAAUCUUUCCGAAGUCCGAAUAUAGUCGUCCAAUAUAUCGAUCUUUACGUCUCGACCAUUUCGAGACUCCUCGUCAUGUCCCCGAUCUCAUCCGGGACUCCGAACUCCUUCGGUACAUCAACAUACAUAAACUCAUAAUAAAACUGUCAUCGUAACUUUAAGCGUGCGGACCCUACGGGUUCGAGAACUAUGUAGACAUGACCGAGACACGUCUCCGGUCAAUAACUAAUAGCGGGACCUGGAUGCCCAUAUUGGCUCCCACAUAUUCUACGAAGAUCUUUAUCGGUCAGACCGCAUAACAACAUACGUUGUUCCCUUUGUCAUCAGUAUGUUACUUGCCCGAGAUUCGAUCGUCGGUAUCUCGAUACCUAGUUCAAUCUCGUUACCGGCAAGUCUCUUUACUCGUUCCGUAACACAUCAUCCCGCAACUAACUUAUUAGUCACAAUGCUUGCAAGGCUUAUAGUGAUGUGCAUUACCGAGUGGGCCCAGAGAUACCUCUCCGACAAUCGGAGUGACAAAUCCUAAUCUUGAAAUACGCCAACCCAACAAGUACCUUUGGAGACACCUGUAGAGCACCUUUAUAAUCACCCAUUUACGUUGUGACGUUUGGUAGCACACAAAGUGUUCCUCCGGUAAACGGGAGUUGCAUAAUCUCAUAGUCAGAGGAACAUGUAUAAGUCAUGAAGAAAGCAAUAGCAACAUACUAAACGAUCAGGUGCUAAGCUAACGGAAUGGGUCAAGUCAAUCACGUCAUUCUCCUAAUGAGGUGAUCUCGUUAAUCAAAUGACAACUUAUGUCUAUGGCUAGGAAACAUAACCAUCUUUGAUUAACGAGCUAGUCAAGUAGAGGCAUACUAGUGACACUCUGUUUGUCUAUGUAUUCACACAUGUAUUAUGUUUCCACUUAAUACAAUUCUAGCAUGAAUAAUAAACAUUUAUCAUGAUAUAAGGAAAUAAAUAAUAACUUUAUUAUUGCCUCUAGGGCAUAUUUCCUUCAGUCUCCCACUUGCACUAGAGUCAAUAAUCUAGUUCACAUCGCCAUGUGAUUUAACAUCAAUAAUUCAUAUCACCAUGUGAUUAACACCCAUAGUUCACAUCUCUAUGUGACUAACACUCAAAGGGUUUACUAGAGUCAAUAAUCUAGUUCACAUCGCUAUGUGAUUAACACCCAAAGAGUACUAAGGUGUGAUCAUGUUUUGAUUGUGAGAUAAUUUUAGCCAACGGGUCUGUCACAUUCAGAUCCGUAAGUAUUUUGCAAAUCUCUAUGUCUACAAUGCUCUGCACGGAGCUACUCUAGCUAAUUGCUCCCACUUUCAAUAUGUAUCUAGACCGAGACUUUAGAGUCAUCUAGAUUAGUGUCAAAACUUGCAUCGACGUAACCCUUUACGACGAACUUUUGUCACUUCCAUAAUCGAGAAACAUUUCCUUAUUCCACUAAGGAUAAUUUUGACCGCUGUCCAGUGAUCUACUCCUAGAUCACUAUUGUACUCCCUUGCCAAAAUCAGUGUAGGGUAUACAAUAGAUUUGGUACACAACAUGGCAUACUUUAUAGAACCUAUGGCCAAGGCAUAGGGAAUGACUUUUAUUCUAUUUCUAUCUUCUGCCGUGGUCGGGCUUUGAGUCUUACUCAAUUUCAUACCUUGUAACACAGGCAAGAACUCUUUCUUUGACUGUUGUAUUUUGAACUACUUCAAAAUCUUGUUAAGGUAUGUACUCAUUGAAAAAACUUAUCAAGCGUCUUGAUCUAUCUCUAUAGAUCUUGAUGCUCAAUAUGUAAGCAGCUUCACCGAGGUCUUUCUUUGAAAAACUCCUUUCAAACACUCCUUUAUGCUUUGCAGAAUAAUUCUACAUUAUUUCCGAUCAACAAUAUGUCAUUCACAUAUACUUAUCAGAAAUGCUGUAGUGCUCCCACUCACUUUCUUGUAAAUACAGGCUUCACCGCAAGUCUGUAUAAAACUAUAUCCUUUGAUCAACUUAUCAAAGUGUAUAUUCCAACUCCGAGAUGCUUGGACCAGUCCAUAGAUGGAUCACUGGAGCUUGCAUAUUUUGUGAGCACCUUUAGGAUUGACAAAACCUUCUGGUUGCAUCAUAUACAACUCUUCUUUAAUAAAUCCAUUAAGGAAUGCAGUUUUGUUUAUCCAUUUGCCAGAUUUCAUAAAAUGCGGCAAUUGCUAACAUGAUUCGGACAGACUUAAGCAUAGAUACGAGUGAGAAACUCUCAUCGUAGUCAACACCUUGAACUUGUCGAAAACCUUUUUGCGACAAUUCUAGCUUUGUAGACAGUAACACUACUAUCACUGUCUGUCUUCCUCUUGAAGAUCCAUUUAAUCUCAAUGGCUCGCCGAUCAUUGGGCAAGUCAACCAAAGUCCAUACUUUGUUCUUCAUACAUGGAUCUCAUCUCAGAUUUCAUGGCCUCAAGCCAUUUCCCGGAAUCUGGGCUCAUCAUCGCUUCCUCAUAGUUCGUAGGUUCGUCAUGGUCAAAUAACAUGACCUCCAGAACAGGAUUACCGUACCACUCUGGUGUGGAUCUCACUCUGGUUUACCUACGAGGUUUGGUAGUAACUUGAUCUGAAGUUACAUGAUCAUCAUCAUUAACUUCCUCACUAAUUGGUGUAGGAGUCACAGGAACAGAUUUCUGUGAUGAACUACUUUCCAAUAAGGGAGCAGGUACAGUUACCUCAUCAAGUUCUACUUUCCUCCCACUCACUUCUUUCGAGAGAAACUCCUUCUCUAGAAAGGAUCCAUACUAAGCAACGACUGUCUUGCCUUUGGAUCUGUGAUAGAAGGUGUACCCAACUGUCUCCUUUGGAUAUCCUAUGAAGACACAUUUCUCUGAUUUGGGUUUGAGCUUAUCAGGAUGAAACUUUUUCACAUAAGCAUCACAACCCCAAACUUUAAGAAACGACAACUUUGGUUUCUUGCCAAACCACAGUUCAUAAGGCGUCGUCUCAACGGAUUUUGAUGGUGCCCUAUUUAACGUGAAUGUAGCUGUCUCUAAUGCAUAACCCCAAAACGAUAGUGGUAAAUUGGUAAGAGACAUCAUAGAUUGCACUAUAUCCAAUAAAGUACGGUUAUGACGUUCGGACACACCAUUACACUGUGGUGUUCCAGGUGGCGUGAGUAGUGAAACUAUUUCACAUUGUUUUAACUGAAGGCCAAACUCGUAACUCAAAUAUUCUCCUCCACGAUCAGAUCGUAGGAAUUUUAUUUUCUUGUUACGAUGAUUUUCAACUUCACUCUAAAAUUCUUUGAACUUUUCAAAUGUUUCAGACUUAUGUUUCAUUAAGUAGAUAUACCCAUAUCUGCUCAAAUCAUCUGUGAAGGUGAGAAAAUAACGAUAUCCGCCACGAGCCUCAAUAUUCAUCGGACCACACACAUCUGUAUGUAUGAUUUCCAACAAAUCUGUUGCUCUCUCCAUAGUUCCGGAGAACGGCGUUUUAGUCAUCUUGCCCAUGAGGCACGGUUCGCAAGCAUCAAGUGAUUCAUAAUCAAGUGAUUCCAAAAUCCCAUCAGUAUGGAGUUUCUUCAUGCGCUUUACACCAAUAUGACCUAAACGGCAGUGCCACAAAUAAGUUGCACUAUCAUUAUUAACUUUGCAUCUUUUGGCUUCAUUAUUAUGAAUAUGUGUAUCACUACGAUCGAGAUCCAACAAACCAUUUUCGUUGGUGUGUAUGACCAUAGAAGGUUUUUUUUUAUUCAUGUAAACAGAACAACAAUUGUUCUCUAACUUAAAUGAAUAACCGUAUUGCAAUAAACAUGAUCAAAUCAUAUUCAUGCUCAACGCAAACACCAAAUAACACUUAUUUAGUUUCAACACUAAUCCCGAAAGUAUAGGGAGUGUGCGAUGAUGAUCAUAUCAAUCUUGGAACUACUUCCAACACACAUCGUCACCUCGCCUUUUACUAGUCUCUGUUUAUUCUGCAACUCCCGUUUUCGAGUUACUACUCUUUAGCAACUGAACCAGUAUCAAAUACUGAGGGGUUGCUAUAAACACUAGUAAGUACACAUCAAUAACAUGUAUAUCCAAUAUACUUUUGUUCACUUUGCCAUCCUUCUUAUCCACCAAAUACUUGGGGCAGUUUCGCCUCCAGUGACCAGUCCCUUUGCAGUAGAAGCACUUAGUCUCAGGCUUAGGUACAGACUUUGGGCUUCUUCACUUGAGUAGCAACUUGCUUGCCGUUCUUUUUGAAGUUCCCCUUCAUCCCUUUGCCCUUUUCUUGAAACUAGUGGUCUCGUCAACCAUCAACACUUGAUGUUUUUCUUGAUUUCUACCUUCGUCGAUUUCAGCAUCACGAAGAGCUCGGGAAUUACUUUCGUCAUCCCUUGCAUACUAUAGUUCAUCACGAAGUUCUACUAACUUGGUGAUGGUGACUAGAGAAUUCUGUCAAUCACUAUUUUAUCUGGAAGAUUAACUCCCACUUGACUCAAGCGAUUGUAGUACCCAGACAAUCUGAGCACAUGCUCACUAGUUGAGCGAUUCUCCUCCAUCUUUUAGCUAUAGAACUUGUUGGAGAUUUCAUAUCUCUCAACUCGGGUAUUUGCUUGAAAUAUUAACUUCAACUCCUGGAACAUCUCAUAUGGUCCAUGACGUUCAAAACGUCUUUGAAGUCCCGAUUCUAAGCCGUUAAGCAUGGUGCACUAAACUAUCAAGUAGUCAUCAUAUUGAGCUAGCCAAACGUUCAUAAUGUCUGCAUCUGCUCCUGCAAUAGGUCUGUCACCUAGCGGUGCAUCAAGGACAUAAUUUUUCUGUGCAGCAAUGAGGAUAAUCCUCAGAUCACGGAUCCAAUCCGCAUCUUUGCUACUAACAUCUUUCAACAUAAUUUUUCUCUAGGAACAAAAAAUAAACACAGGGAAGCAACAACGCGAGCUAUUGAUCUACAACAUAAAUUGCAAAAUACUAUCAGGACUAAGUUCAUGAUAAAUUUAAGUUCAAUUAAUCAUAUUACUUAAGAACUCCCACUUAGAUAGACAUCUCUCUAAUCAUCUAAGUGAUUACGUGAUCCAAAGCAACUAAACCAUGUCCGAUUAACACGUGAGAUGGAGUAGUUUCAAUGGUGAACAUCACUAUGUUGAUCAUAUCUACUAUAUGAUUCACGCUCGACCUUUCGGUCUCUGUGUUCCGAGGCCAUAUCUGUAUAUGCUAGGCUCGUCAAGUUUAACCUGAGUAUUCCGCGUGUGCAACUGUUUUGCACCCGUUGUAUUUGAACGUAGAGCCUAUCACACCCGAUUAACACGUGGUGUCUCAGCACGAAGAACUUUUGCAACGGUGCAUACUCAGGGAGAACACUUUUAUCUUGAAAUUUUAGUGAGAGAUCAUCUUAUAAUGCUACCGUCAAUCAAAGCAAGAUAAGAUGCAUAAAGGAUUAACAUCACAUGCAAUCAAUAUAAGUGAUAUGAUAUGGCCAUCAUCAUCUUGUGCUUGUGAUCUCCAUCUCCGAAGCACCGUGCUUGUGAUAUCCAUCUCCGAAGCACCGUCAUGAUCACCAUCGUCACCGGCGCGACACCUUGAUCUCCAUCGUAGCAUCGUUGUCGUCUCGCCAACUUAUUGCUUUUACGACUAUCGCUACCGUUUAGUGAUAAAGUAAAACUAUUACAUGGCGAUUGCAUCUCAUACAAUAAAGCGACAACCAUAUGGCUCCUGCCAGUUGCCGAUAACUCGGUUACAAAACAUGAUCAUCUCAUACAACACAUUAUAUCACAUCAUGUCUUGACCAUAUCACAUCACAACAUGCCCUGCAAAAACAAGUUAGACGUCCUCUACUUUGUUGUUGCAAGUUUUACGUGGCUGCUACGGGCUUAGCAAGAACCGUUCUUACCUACGCAUCAAAACCACAACGAUAGUUUGUCAAGUUGGUGCUGUUUUAACCUUCGCAAGGACCGGGCGUAGCCACACUCGGUUCAACUAAAGUGAGAGAGACAGACACCCGCCAGUCACCUUUAAGCAACGAGUGCUCCGAACAGUGAAACCAGUCUCGCGUAAGCGUACGCGUAAUGUCGGUCCGGGCCGCUUCAUCUCACAAUACCGCUGAACCAAAGUAUGACAUGCUGGUAAGCAGUAUGACUUAUAUCGCCCACAACUCACUUGUGUUCUACUCGUGCAUAGCAUCAACGCAUAAAACCAGGCUCGGAUGCCACUGUUGGGGAACGUAGUAAUUUCAAAAAAUUUCCUACGCACACGCAAGAUCAUGGUGAUGCAUAGCAACGAGAGGGGAGAGUGUUGUCCACGUACCCUCGUAGACCGACACCGGAAGCGUUAUCACAACGCGGUUGAUGUAGUCGUACGUAUUCACGAUCCGACCGAUCAAGUACCGAACGCACGGCACCUCCGAGUUCUACACACGUUCAGCUCGAUGACGUCCCUCGAACUCCGAUCCAGCCGAGUGUUGAGGGAGAGUUUCGUCAGCACGACGGCGUGGUGACGAUGAUGAUGUUCUACCGACGCAGGGCUUCGCCUAAGCUCCGCAAUGAUAUUAUCGAGGUGUAAUUUGGUGGAGGGGGGCACCGCACACGGCUAAAAGAUCUCAAGGAUCAAUUGUUGUGUCUCUGGGGUGCCCCCCUGCCUCCGUAUAUAAAGGAGCAAGGGAGGAGGAGGCCGGCCCUAGGAGGGGGCGCACCAAGUGUGGAGUCCUACUAGGACUUCCUAGUCCUAGUAGGAUUCCACCUCCCAUAUGGAAUAGGAAAAGAGGAAGGGAAAAAGAGAAGGAAGGGGGCGCCCCCCUUCCCUAGUCCAAUUCGGACCAGACCAAGGGGAGGGGUGCGGCCACCCUUGAGGCCCUUUUUCUUCUUUCCCGUAUGGCCCAAUAAGGCCCAAUACGUAUUCCCGUAACUCUCCGGCACUCCGAGAACUAUGUAGACAUGACCGAGACACGUCUCCGGUCAAUAACCAAUAGCGGGACCUGGAUGCCCAUAUUGGCUCCCACAUAUUCUACGAAGAUCUUUAUCGGUCAGACCGCAUAACAACAUACGUUGUUCCCUUUGUCAUCAGUAUGUUACUUGCCCGAGAUUCGAUCGUCGGUAUCUCGAUACCUAGUUCAAUCUCGUUACCGGCAAGUCUCUUUACUCGUUCCGUAACACAUCAUCCCGCAACUAACUUAUUAGUCACAAUGCUUGCAAGGCUUAUAGUGAUGUGCAUUACCGAGUGGGCCCAGAGAUACCUCUCCGACAAUCGGAGUGACAAAUCCUAAUCUCGAAAUACGCCAACCCAACAAGUACCUUUGGAGACACCUGUAGAGCACCUUUAUAAUCACCCAUUUACGUUGUGACGUUUGGUAGCACACAAAGUGUUCCUCCGGUAAACGGGAGUUGCAUAAUCUCAUAGUCAUAGGAACAUGUAUAAGUCAUGAAGACAGCAAUAGCAACAUACUAAACGAUCAAGUGCUAAGCUAACGGAAUGGGUCAAGUCAAUCACAUCAUUCUCCUAAAGAUGUGAUCCCGUUAAUCAAAUGACAACUCAUGUCUAUGGUUAGGAAACAUAACCAUCUUCGAUUAACGAGCUAGUCAAGUAGAGGCAUACUAGUGACACUCUGUUUGUCUAUGUAUUCACACAUGUAUUAUGUUUCCGGUUAAUACAAUUCUAGCAUGAAUAAUAAACAUUUAUCAUGAUAUAAGAAAAUAAAUAAUAACUUUAUUAUUGCCUCUAGGGCAUAUUUCCUUCAGUUUGGCCAAGGUUCUCCUGACAAGGAGAGAGACCUUAAUAAAUUUAGCACAUCGCCAAAAGGCGAGUGCUGAAAGAUAUCCGCGGAGGUAAACUCCAUGAUCGGUGCCCAAUCGGGUUCGAUAGGCACGGACACAGGCGGCUCAGAGCCCGUGGCCGGGGACGAAUCCAAUGGUUCGGCAACACGACUCUCGUAAGGGGUGAAGUCAGUAUUCGGAUCUGUCGCCACUGAGAGUGCGGCCUCCAUGGCGGGGUCUAUCCACCCGUCCUCGGAUGGCGCAAUUUGUUCCGGAUUGAGGGCCAGAGUAGUUGCAGGUGUGAUCUCCCGAACACUGUCCGACGGCAGAGUUACGUCAUGCUCAUCGUGAUUGUGCGACGCACCCGACAUGGGUUCGAAUCCGUCGAAGAUCAAGUCUCCGCGGGUGUCGGCAGUAUAGUUCAAGUUUCCGAACCCGACCUGAUGGCCAGGGGCGUAGCUCUCGAUCUGCUCCAGAUGGCCAAGUGAGUUGGCCCGUAGUGCGAAGCCGCCGAAUACGAAGAUCUGUCCGGGGAGGAAAACCUCACCCUGGAUCGCAUCGUUGCCGAUGAUUGGAGGAGCCAUCAAGCCUUACGGUGACGGCACAGUGGAACUCUCAAUGAAAGCACCAAUGUCGGUGUCAAAACCAGCGGAUCUCAGGUAGGGGGUCCCGAUCUGUGCGUCUAAUGCGGAUGGUAACAGGAGGCGGGGGACACAAUGUUUACCCAGGUUCGGGCCCUCUCGAUGGAGGUAAUACCCUACUUCCUGCUUGAUUGAUCGUGAUGAUAUGAGUAUUACAAGAGUUGAUCUACCACGAGAUCGUAGAGGCUAAAACCCUAGAAGCUAGCCUAUGGUAUGAUUGUUGUUGUCCUACGGACUAAACCCUCCGGUUUAUAUAGACACCAGAGGGGGCUACUGAAGGAAACAUGCCCUAGAGGCAAUAAUAAAGUUAUUAUUUAUUUCCUUAUAUCAUGAUAAAUGUUUAUUAUUCAUGCUAGAAUUGUAUUAACCGGAAACAUAAUACAUGUGUGAAUACAUAGACAAACAGAGUGUCACUAGUAUGCCUCUACUUGACUAGCUCGUUAAUCGAAGAUGGUUAUGUUUCCUAACCAUAGACAUGAGUUGUCAUUUGAUUAACGGGAUCACAUCUUUAGGAGAAUGAUGUGAUUGACUUGACCCAUUCCGUUAGCUUAGCACUUGAUCGUUUAGUAUGUUGCUAUUGCUUUCUUCAUGACUUAUACAUGUUCCUAUGACUAUGAGAUUAUGCAACUCCCGUUUACCGGAGGAACACUUUGUGUGCUACCAAACGUCACAACGUAACUGGGUGAUUAUAAAGGUGCUCUACAGGUGUCUCCGAAGGUACUUGUUGGCUUGGCGUAUUUCGAGAUUAGGAUUUGUCACUCCGAUUGUCGGAGAGGUAUCUCUGGGCCCACUCGGUAAUGCACAUCACUAUAAGCCUUGCAAGCAUUGCAACUAAUGAGUUAGUUGCGGGAUGAUGUAUUACAGAACGAGUAAAGAGACUUGCCGGUACGAGAUUGAACUAGGUAUUGAGAUACCGACGAUCGAAUCUCGGGCAAGUAACAUACCGAUGACAAAGGGAACAACGUAUGUUAAAGAUCUUCGUAGAAUAUGUGGGAGCCAAUAUGAGCAUCCAGGUUCCGCUAUUGGUUAUUGACCGGAGACGUGUCUCGGUCAUGUCUACAUUGUUCUCGAACACGUAGGGUCCGCACGCUUAAAGUUAGAUGACGGUUAUAUUAUGAGUUUAUGUAUUUUGAUGUACCGAAGGAGUUCGGAGUCCCGAAUGAGAUCAGGGACUUGACGAGGAGUCUCGAAAUGGUCGAUACGUAAAGAUCAAUAUAUUGGACGACUAUAUUCGGACAUCGGAAAGGUUCCGAGUAAUUCAGGUAUUUUUCGGAGUACCAGAAAGUUACGGGAAUUCGUAUUGGGCCUUAAUGGGCCAUACGGAAAAGGAGAGAAAGGCCCCAAAGGGUAGCCGCACCCCUCCCCAUGGACUAGUCCGAAUUGGACUAGGGAGGGGGGGGCGCCCCCUUCCUUCCUUCUCCUUCUCCCUUCCCUUCUCCUACUCCAACAAGGAAAGGAGGAGUCCUACUCCCGGUGGGAGUAGGACUCCCCCGUUGGCGCGCCCUCCUCCUAGGUCGGCCGCCUCCCCCCUUGCUCCUUUAUAUACGGGGGUAGGGGGCACCCCAAAGACACAACAAUUGAUCUAUUGAUCUUUUAGCCGUGUGCGGUGCCCCCCUCCUCCAUAAUCCACCUCGAUAAUAUCGUAGCGGUGCUUAGGCGAAGCCCUGCGUCGGUAGAACAUCAUCAUCGUCACCACGCCGUCGUGCUGACGGAACUCUCACUCAAAGCUCGGCUGGAUCGGAGUUCGAGGGACAUCAUCGAGCUGAACGUGUGCUGAACUCGGAGGUGCCGUACGUUCGGUACUUGGAUCGGCCGGAUCGUGAAGACGUACGACUACAUCAACCGCGUUGUGCUAACGCUUCCGCUUUCGGUCUACGAGGGUACGUGGACAACACUCUCCCCUCUCGUUGCUAUGCAUCACCAUGAUCUUGCGUGUGCGUAGAAAUUUUUGAAAUUACUACGUUCCCCAAUAGUGGCAUCCGAGCCUGGUUUUAUACGUAGAUGUCAUAUGCACGAGUAGAACACAAGUGAGUUGUGGGCGAUAUAAGUCAUAUUGCUUACCAGCAUGUCAUACUUUGGUUCAGCGGUAUUGUUGGAUGAAGCGGCCCGGACCGACAUUACGCGUACGCUUACGCGAGACUGGUUCUACCGACGUGCUUUGCACAUAGGUGGCUGGCGGGUGUCAGUUUCUCCAACUUUAGUUGAACCGAGUGUGGCUACGCCCGGUCCUUGCGAAGGUUAAAACAGCACCAACUUGACAAACUAUCGUUGUGGUUUUGAUGCGUAGGUAAGAACGGUUCUUGCUAAGCCCGUAGCAGCCACGUAAAACUUGCAACAACAAAGUAGAGAACGUCUAACUUGUUUUUGCAGGGCAUGUUGUGAUGUGAUAUGGUCAAAGCAUGAUGCUAAAUUUAUUGUAUGAGAUGAUCAUGUUUUGUAACCGAGUUAUCGGCAACUGGCAGGAGCCAUAUGGUUGUCGCUUUAUUGUAUGCAAUGCAAUCGCCCUGUAAUGCUUUACUAUCACUAAGCGAUAGCGAUAGUCGUAGAAGCAUAAGAUUGGCGAGACGACAACGAUGCUACGAUGGAGAUCAAGGUGUCGCGCCGGUGACGAUGGUGAUCAUGACGGAGCUUCGGAGAUGGAGAUCACAAGCACAAGAUGAUGAUGGCCAUAUCAUAUCACUUAUAUUGAUUGCAUGUGAUGUUUAUCUUUUAUGCAUCUUAUCUUGCUUUGAUUGACGGUAGCAUUAUAAGAUGAUCCCUCACUAAAUUAUCAAAGUAUAAGUGUUCUCCCUGAGUAUGCACCGUUGCGAAAGUUCUUCGUGCUGAGACACCACGUGAUGAUCGGGUGUGAUAGGCUCUACGUUCAAAUACAACGGGUGCAAAACAGUUGCACACGCGGAAUACUCAGGUUAAGCUUGACGAGCCUAGCAUAUAAUAGAUAUGGCCUCGGAACACGGAGACCGAAAGGUCGAGCGUGAAUCAUAUAGUAGAUAUGAUCAACAUAGUGAUGUUCACCGUUGAAACUACUCCAUCUCACAUGAUGAUCGGACAUGGUUUAGUUGAUAUGGAUCACGUGAUCACUUAGAGGAUUAGAGGGAUGUCUAUCUAAGUGGGAGUUCUUAAGUAAUAUGAUUAAUUGAACUUGAAUUUAUCAUGAACUUAGUACCUGAUAGUAUCUUGCUUGUCUAUGUUGAUUGUAGAUAGAUGGCCCGUGCUGUUGUUCCGUUGAAUUUUAAUGCGUUCCUUGAGAAAGCAAAGUUGAAAGAUGAUGGUAGCAAUUACACGGACUGGGUCCAUAACUUGAGGAUUAUCCUCAUUGCUGCACAGAAGAAUUACGUCCUGGAAGCACCGCUGGGUGCCAGGCCUGCUGCUGAUGCAACUGACGACGUUAAGAACGUCUGGCAGAGAAAAUCUGAUGACUACUCGAUAGUUCAAUGUGCCAUGCUUUACGGCUUAGAACCGGGACUGCAACGACGUUUUGAACGUCAUGGAGCAUAUGAGAUGUUCCAGGAGUUAAAGUUAAUAUUUCAAAAGAAUGCCCAUAUUGAGAGAUAUGAAGUCUCCAAUAAGUUCUACAGCUGCAAGAUGGAGGAGAAUAGUUUUGUCAGUGAGCAUAUACUCAAAAUGUCUGGGUAUAAUAAUCACAUGAUUCAACUGGGAGUUAAUCUUCCGGAUGAUAGCGCCAUUGACAGAAUUCUCCAAUCGUUGCCACCAAGCUACAAGAGCUUCGUGAUGAACUAUAACAUGCAAGGGAUGGAUAAGACAAUUCCCGAGCUCUUCGCAAUGCUAAAGGCUGCAGAGGUAGAAAUCAAAAAGGAGCAUCAAGUGUUGAUCGUCAAUAAGACCACCAGUUUCAAGAAAAAGGGCAAAGGGAAGAAGCAGGGGAACUUCAAGAAGAACAGCAAGCAAGUUGCUGCUUAGGAGAAGAAACCCAAGUCUGUACCUAAGCCUGAGACUGAGUGCUUCUACUGCAAGCAGACUGGUCACUGGAAGCAGAACUGCCCCAAGUAUUUGGCGGAUAAGAAGGAUGGCAAGGUGAACAAAGGUAUAUGUGAUAUACACCUUACUAAUGCUCGCAGUAGCACCUUGGUAUUUGAUACUGGUUCUGUUGCUAAUAUUUACAACUCGAAACUGGGGCUACGGAUUAAGCAAAGAUUGGCUAAGGACGAGGUGACGAUGCGCGUGGGAAAUGGUUCCAAAGUCGAUGUGAUCGCAGUCGGCACGCUACCUCUACAUCUACCUUCGGGAUUAGUUUUAGACCUAAAUAAUUGUUAUUUGGUGCCAGCGUUAAGCAUGAACAUUAUAUCUGGAUCUUGUUUGAUGCGAGACGGUUAUUCAUUUAAAUCAGAGAAUAAUGGUUGUUCUAUUUAUAUGAGUAAUAUCUUUUAUGGUCAUGCACCCUUGAAGAGUGGUCUAUUUUUGUUGAAUAUCGAUAGUAGUGAUACACAUAUUCAUAAUAUUGAAGUCAAAAGAUGCAGAGUUGAUAAUGAUAGUGCAACUUAUUUGUGGCACUGCCGUUUAGGUCAUAUCAGUGUAAAGCGCAUGAAGAAACUCCAUACUGAUGGACUUUUGGAACCACUUGAUUAUGAAUCACUUGGUACUUGCAAACCGUGCCUCAUGGGCAAGAUGACUAAAAUGCCGUUCUCCGGAACUAUGGAGAGAGCAACAGAUUUGUUGGAAGUCAUACAUACAGAUGUAUGUGGUUCGAUGAAUAUUGAGGCUCGUGGCGGAUAUCGUUAUUUUCUCACCUUCGCAGAUGAUUUGAGCAGAUAUGGGUAUAUCUACUUAAUGAAACAUAAGUCUGAAACAUUUGAAAAGUUCAAAGAAUUUCAGAGUGAAGUUGAAAAUCAUCGUAACAAGAAAAUAAAGUUUCUAUGAUCUGAUCGUGGAGGAGAAUAUUUGAGUUAUGAGUUUGGUCUUCAUUUGAAACAAUGCGGAAUAGUUUCGCAACUCACGCCACCCGGAACACCACAGCGUAAUGGUGUGUCCGAACGUCGUAAUUGUACUCUACUAGAUAUGGUGCGACCUAUGAUGUCUCUUACUGAUUUACUGCUAUCGUUUUGGGGUUAUGCUUUAGAGACGGCCGCAUUCACGUUAAAUAGGGCACCAUCAAAAUCCGUUGAGACGACGCCUUAUGAACUGUGGUUUGGCAAGAAACCAAAGUUGUCGUUGCUUAAAGUUUGGGGCUGCGAUGCUUAUGUGAAAAAGCUUCAACCUGAUAAGCUCGAACCCAAAUCGGAGAAAUGUGUCUUCAUAGGAUACCCAAAGGAGACAAUUGGGUACACCUUCUAUCACAAAUCCGAAGGCAAGACAUUCGUUGCUAAGAAUGGAUCCUUUCUAGAGAAGGAGUUUCUCUCGAAAGAAGUGAGUGGGAGGAAAGUAGAACUUGAUCAGGUAACUAUACCUGCUCCCUUAUUGGAAAGUAGUUCAUCACAGAAAUCUGUUCCUGUGACUACUAGACCAAUUAGUGAGGAAGCUAAUGAUGAUGAUCAUGUAACUUCAGAUCAAGUUACUACCGAACCUCGUAGGUCAACCGGAGUGAGAUCCACACCAGAGUGGUACGGUAAUCCUGUUCUGGAGGUCAUGUUACUUGACCAUGAUGAACCUACGAACUAUGACGAAGCGAUGAUGAGCCUAGAUUCCACGAAAUGGCUUGAGGCCAUGAAAUCUGAGAUGGGAUCCAUGUAUGAGAACAAAGUAUGGACUUUGAUUGACUUGCCCAAUGAUCGGCGAACCAUUGAGAUUAAAUGGAUCUUCAAGAGGAAGACGGACGCUGAUAGUAGUGUUACUAUCUACAAAGCUAGAAUUGUCGCAAAAAGGUUUUUCGACAAGUUCAAGGUGUUGACUACGAUGAGAGUUUCUCACUCAUAUCUAUGCUUAAGUCUGUUCGAAUCAUGUUAGCAAUUGCCGCAUUUUAUGAAAUCUGGCAAACGGAUAAACAAAACUGCAUUCCUUAAUGGAUUUAUUAAAGAAGAGUUGUAUAUGAUGCAACCAGAAGGUUUUGUCAAUCCUAAAGGUGCUAACAAAAUAUGCAAGCUCCAGCGAUCCAUCUAUGGACUGGUGCAAGCAUCUCGGAGUUGGAAUAUACGCUUUGAUAAGUUGAUCAAAGGAUAUAGUUUUAUACAGACUUGCGGUGAAGCCUGUAUUUACAAGAAAGUGAGUGGGAGCACUACAACAUUUUUGAUAAGUAUAUGUGAAUGACAUAUUGUUGAUCGGAAAUAAUGUAGAAUUAUUCUGCAAAGCAUAAAGGAGUGUUUGAAAGGAGUUUUUCAAAGAAAGACCUCGGUGAAGCUGCUUACAUAUUGAGCAUCAAGAUCUAUAGAGAUAGAUCAAAACGCUUGAUAAGUUUUUUCAAUGAGUACAUACCUUGAAAAGAUUUUGAAGUAGUUUAAAAUGGAACAGUCAAAGAAAGAGUUCUUGCCUGUGUUACAAGGUGUGAAAUUGAGUAAGACUCAAAGCCCGACCAUGGCAGAAGAUAGAAAGAGAAUGAAAGUCAUUCCCUAUGCCUCAGCCAUAGGUUCUAUAAAGUAUGCCAUGCUAUGUACCAGAUCUAUUGUAUACCCUACCACUGAGUUUGGCAAGGGAGUACAAUAGUGAUCUAGGAGUAGAUCACUGGAUAGCGGUCAAAAUUAUCCUUAGUGGAAUAAGGAUAUGUUUCUCAAUUAUGGAGGUGAAAAAAGGUUCAUCGUAAAGGGUACGUCGAUGCAAGUUUUUGACACUGAUCCAGAUGACUCUAAGUCUCAAUCUGGAUACAUAUUGAAAGUGGGAGCUAUUAGCUAGAGUAGCUCCGUGCAGAGCAUCGUAGACAUAGAAUUUGCAAAAUACUUACGGAUCUGAAUGUGACAGACCCGUUGACUAAAAUUAUCUCACAAGCAAAACAUGAUCACACCUUAGUACUCUUUGGGUGUUAAUCGCAUAGCGAUAUGAACUAGAUUACUGACUCUAGUAAACCCUUUGGGUGUUGGUCACAUAUCGAUGUGAACUAUGGGUGUUAACCACAUAAAGAUGUGAACUAUUGAUGUUAAAUCACAUGGCGAUGUGAACUAGAUUAUUGACUCUAGUGCAAGUGGGAGACUGAAGGAAAUAUGCCCUAGAGGCAAUAAUAAAGUUAUUAUUUAUUUCCUUAUAUCAUGAUAAAUGUUUAUUAUUCAUGCUAGAAUUGUAUUAACCGGAAACAUAAUACAUGUGUGAAUACAUAGACAAACAGAGUGUCACUAGUAUGCCUCUACUUGACUAGCUCGUUAAUCGAAGAUGGUUAUGUUUCCUAACCAUAGACAUGAGUUGUCAUUUGAUUAACGGGAUCACAUCAUUAGGAGAAUGAUGUGAUUGACUUGACCCAUUCCGUUAGCUUAGCACUUGAUCGUUUAGUAUGUUGCUAUUGCUUUCUUCAUGACUUAUACAUGUUCCUAUGCCUAUGAGAUUAUGCAACUCCCGUUUACUGGAGGAACACUUUGUGUGCUACCAAACGUCACAACGUAACUGGGUGAUUAUAAAGGUGCUCUACAGGUGUCUCCGAAGGUACUUGUUGGGUUGGCGUAUUUUGAGAUUAGGAUUUGUCACUCCGAUUGUCGGAGAGGUAUCUCUUAGCCCACUCGGUAAUGCACAUCACUAUAAGCCUUGCAAGCAUUGCAACUAGUGAGUUGGUUGCGGGAUGAUGUAUUACAGAACGAAUAAAGAGACUUGCCGGUAACGAGAUUGAACUAGGUAUUGAGAUACCGACGAUCGAAUCUCGGGCAAGUAACAUACCGAUGACAAAGGGAACAAGGUAUGUUGUUAUGCGGUUUGACCGAUAAAGAUCUUCGUAGAAUAUGUGGGAGCCAAUAUGAGCAUCCAGGUUCCGCUAUUAGUUAUUGACCGGAGACGUGUCUCGGUCAUGUCUACAUUGUUCUCGAACCCGUAGGGUCGGCACGCUUAAAGUUAGAUGACGGUUAUAUUAUGAGUUUAUGUAUUUUGAUGUACCGAAGGAGUUCAGAGUCCCGGAUGAGAUCAGGGACUUGACGAGGAGUCUCGAAAUGGUCGAGACGUAAAGAUCGAUAUAUUGGACGACUAUAUUCGGACAUCGGAAAGGUUCCGAGUAAUUCGGGUAUUUUUCGGAGUACUGGAGAGUUACCGGAAUUCGUAUUGGGCCUUAAUGGGCCAUACGGGAAAGGAGAGAAAGGCCCCAAAGGGUAGCCGCACCCCUCCCCAUGGACUAGUCCGAAUUGGACUAGGGAGGGGGGGCGCCCCCUUCCUUCCUUCUCCUUCUCCCUUCCCUUCUCCUACUCCAACAAGGAAAGGAGGAGUCCUACUCCCGGUGGGAGUAGGACUCCCCCCCUUGGCGCGCCCUCCUCCUAGGUUGGCCGCCUCCCCCUUGCUCCAUUAUAUACGGGGGCAACCCAAAGACACAACAAUUGAUCUAUUGAUCUCUUAGCCGUGUGCGGUGCCCCCCUCCUCCAUAAUCCACCUCGAUAAUAUCAUAGCGGUGCUUAGGCGAAGCCCUGCAUCGGUAGAACAUCAUCAUCGUCACCACGCCGUCGUGCUGACGAAACUCUCCCUCAAAGCUCGGCUGGAUCGGAGUUCGAGGGACGUCAUCGAGCUGAACGUGUGCUGAACUCGGAGGUGCCGUACGUUCGGUACUUGGAUCGGUCGGAUUGUGAAGACGUACGACUACAUCAACCGCGUUGCUAACGCUUCCGCUUUCGGUCUACGAGGGUACGUGGACAACACUCUCCCCUCUCGUUGCUAUGCAUCACCAUGAUCUUGCGUGUGCGUAGAAAAUUUUGAAUUACUACGUUCCCCAACAGCUAGGGUUGCACAGAGUCGGUUACAAGGGAGGAGAUCUACAUAUCCAUAUUGCCAAGCUUGCCUUCCACGCCAAGGAGAGUCUCAUCCGGACACAUGACGAAGUCUUCAAUCUUGUAUCUUCAUAGUCCAACAGUCCGGCCAAAGGAUAUAGUCCGGUUGUCCGAGGACCCCCUAAUCCAGGACUCCCUCAACUGUGGAGUGGACCGCGGACCGCGGCGCUACGGCCCGAAGGGGCGACGCAGCGGCGGCAGGCGGGUCGGGGCGACGGCGGGAAGUCCUCGAGGCGGCAGCGGGGACCGCGGGCCGCGACGCUGCGGACGAAGGGGCGACACAACGGCGGUUCGCGAGUCGGUGCGACCGCGGGGAUGGCCUUGGGGCGGCGGCACGGACCGCGUAUCGCGGCACUUCGUCCCGAAGGGGUGACACAUCGCCGACGCACGAGUCGAUGCAGCCGCGUGGAGAAGAACGGGGCGGCGGCGCUGCCGCCCGACGGGGCGACGCAGCGGCAGCCCGUUACUCGAUCGGCGGAGAGGCGGGCGGUACUCUAGACGAUCUUCACGGGACCUGCGGAGGCGCGCGUAACCGACGGGCCAGGUCGGUCGCGCGGCGUAGAUGAGGCGGAUCCCGACGGCGAGCGGGUGAUCAAGCCGAUCGCGCGCGAGGUCGGGGAUGCCGCUCGGUUGAGGCGGGGUGGCGGCGGAGUCCGAGAUGAGGCCGAUGACGGUGAAUGGCGUGGGACGCCGUGCAGACGAGCUUGUCAGCACCGGCACCCGGGCUACCAAAGCAGCGCCGGCGCCCGGGCAACGAGGCCCGAGCGACCAACAGAGCAGCGGCGCCCGAGUUGAGGCAGCCGGCGAGCCUGACGCAGCCGUCCCGACGCAGCCGAAGACGAGGCCGGCGAGGUAGACCGUCGGGCCGCCGUACAGACGCAGUGGAGGCGGGUGACGUGGAUCGAUGGGCGGGCCGGCGCGCGAGCGACGACUAUGAUUGGCCGUCGCAUGGCGCGAGGCCGCCGGGUCGGGGCGAUGCAGGUUUCUCGUUCGGAGCAGGGCGGUGACGGCUGGCGCAUGGCGACGGACGGACCGACGCGCGGACGGCGGCUGGCCUUGACGGGCCGCCUUGGCGCGCGUGGACGCCGGGUCGGAAGAGAGGUCGGCUGGUUGCGCCGGGGUUGGAGUAGAGGCGCACGAGGGUCGAUGACGGCGCCGGGUGACGCAAACCGAUCAAGAUUAGAUCGGAAAACCAAAAAGAAAAACGCCGAUCAAAAAUGACAGGCGAGAGAGCGAAAAAACCCGGAGCAAGGGCUCGGGAAAAAGACUCAUUAGGGCAGCCGCCCAACACGGCCGGCGGACGAACCCUAGGUACGGGCGGCGCGGCCCCCGACGGUAGUCAUGGAGGCCGACCGCCCCGGGGGCGGCGCGCGGGUGCGGAAGCGGUGACGGCUAGGGUUUAGAACCCGAAAACUGAUACCAUGUUAGAAGGAAGAGAGAGGUUUGGUGGAAUAGUUCGUUGUAUUGCUUGAGCCUCAUGGGCAUAUAUAUAGGAGUACAAUCAUCUAUUUAAAGUACAAGACAAGCCAGAACAAAUCCUAGUCUAUCUCGUCUUUCCUAAUAAACAUUAUACUCAACUUUUCUGCCGCCUUGCGACCACACGUCUAAAACGGACAAUGAUAGGUCUAUUCAUUCUUUCGCGAUGCUUGAGAUGAAAUCUAUAAUGGUUUUACGUCAAACUUGUAUUACUCAUGUUAGCCGUAGUCAUAACACAAUUAGUCACCCUUUAGCAAUUCUUGCUCAUGUGCACGGUAGAACUGUUGUUUGGUUUAGAUAUGGUCUUUCCAAAACAGUCAAACUCUGUAAUGCCGAAUGUAAACCCGACAAAUAAUGAGUACUAGAAGAAAAAGGCGCGCUUUGCCGCACCCGAAUUUAUUCAGACGUAAACCAGGGAAAAAAUGUAGUAUUUGAAAUCUGAGAUACAUUUAUAAAUUUCUCUAAUUUUGAUAUAAAUCAAUAUACAAUGAGUACACAAUAUACAUUCAUCCACGCACAAUAUGUUUUGCUCAAACUGACAUCCUCAUGAUAACAACAAUGAGAUAUUUAUCUCGAUGAUAAUAUUAUCAAACAUUCGGUGUGACAAACAGAAGCUCAUCGCACCCUCCUCUAUACCACUAAGCUCCCUAAUUUUAAAGGCCCCACAAUUAAUUGAAGUCUCCAAUUUGGAAUUGGCUAUCCAAUUUUGACCGGGUCAACAAUUUCACAAGAAGCUCUCAAUUCAAUUUUUUUAAUACACUAUGGUUUCCAAUUUUGGAGCUCUCCCAUUCGUUUGAGGUAUACCAUUUUAAUCCUUGACUUGACUUGGUCAAUCCUUAGUUGUGACCCAAUAAAAUCUCUAACUUCAUUAAGCUCUCUAAUUUUCAAGAACCCCAUUGAACUGAGAUCUUCAAUUUGGAUUGGAUACACAGUUAAUUGUGUCGUUGGCCUGGGCUUUGUGGUGUGAUCUCUCAAUGAAUGGGCCCCUUGGUAAGUGCUUAGGUGAUGUGGGCCUUCUUGACAAAAAGAAAAUAUCAACUAUGACACGUUUAGCAUAGCACAUCACAUGCUGCCAACAACAUAGGUAAUUUUCUAAUGUAUUUGUAUUAAUUAAAUGACGUCCUCCAGUCACACGGUUAGAAAGAUCCACCCAAACACCAGAAAAAAAAAUGAAAAAUGAUACACUCACGGACGAUUCACUAUGAAUUGAUCAUAGCAAACACUCUCCCACCAAUUCAUCUGUUGGGCCACUCUUUCCCUAAUUUCCAACCAUAAAUUGACACAUUCAUCUGUAACCAUGAUUUUGUAAAGUCUGUCCAUAGGUGUAGCAUCUCUGAUAAAAAACACACACUCUAUUGUAUCCCGCACACGCCAAACCAACUAUCACGUAAAUAAUUUUCACAAAUUAAAAAAUUUAUCACGUAAAAAAAACAUGUACAACUCAAAAAACAUAAGCGGCGCAGCAAAGCGCGCACUGCCCUACUAGUAUAAUAUCAAAUGGGCUUCCCUAGAGUGAUUGUUGUCGUCCAUGAACUGAACAAAAGAUGCAAUUUUGUAAAGAAAAACAAUAUCUAAUAUAGAUUUCAAAUAUCCCAAACAUUUACAAGCAAAACAGUACACACCUUCCAUAAUCUAAAGUUUGUAGGAUUACAUUUUCUUAGAUGGACAGUGACCACAAUCCUUUUAGACAGUGAUCUAACUUCCUUUUUGACAGACCGAGGCAAAUGCAUUAAGAAGGAUUACCAGUAGAAAAGUCUUUCACUAAUAUGUCCGUAUGCAUAGAUAAGUAGGAAACAAAUGUGUCAAUAUCAACUGAGAUGGCCAGAAUAUUAGUAGGGAUGCAAGAAUCUUUUCUUGACAUCUCACUCCACAUACUAUUAUUCUAAAGAUGAUGCUUCAGAAUCAUUAGCGCUAUACUAGUGAGAUGCGUUGAUCAUUGUGUCAAUAAAAACAGGAAACAGUUGUGCCAACAUGUACCAAGCUAACUGUGAUGUUAACCACAUGUGGUUUAAAUGUAUGUUGAAUCCCAUUAGCCAACUCUUAGUACAAGGAAAAUAUAUCUUUAUUCUAGAUAAGUAUCUGACAAUUACCAUCAAUAACAAAUAUAUUUAGCCUUCGUGUCAGUUUUCGUCCCACAUAAGAAAAUAAAUUACCAUCAGAAGGAGAGAGCGCCCUGGACCACCACCAAAGCGACCCCGCUCAUACAAUCCCUAUAUUACAGUUGUCCGCGACACCAAUUGAAAAAAAGAGACAAAAUCCACAUGCGGACAAGAAAAGAAGAGAAUGUGAAGGACGCACCAUGCCAGUCAAACGAUGGGAGGAAGAUGGAGCAGUCCACAUAAAAACCACCACCAGACACAUUUUGCUUUGCAACCCAAAAUUUAUAGAUCACUGCACAUGAAACUACACAUUAAUUCAAAAUAUACACUAUAGUCCGUAGUAUAGCUCCCAUUUGAAGCAGACCAUAUGGAACAGAACCCCUCAAUUAGUAAGGUUCAAAACCCCCUACCCCUACAUUGCCCAAAGUGUAGAAGCUCAAACUUUAGGGUACCAACAUCAACCAGUCAGCAACUCAAACUUAAUAUGCAAUUUACAACUUAUAUCUACUUGCGCCUUCACUUGUACAUAAGGAUGGGUCAAUUGUAACCUAGUGUUGUUCAUCUUGAUGCUUCUCUGUAACCUGACGGACCAUUCCAGACCGAAAUGCAUGAAGGUACUGGUAGGUAAUGUACCUCUAUCUCGUCAUCGUGUAUUGCUCUACAAUUAUAGUAUUUGUUCAUACAACAGAAAUAGAUGCAGGUGUCUCGAAGAAGAUAAUCACAAACUUCACAAUCUAUCAUGAAGAUGUGUUCUUCUGCUUCGUAUAAACCUAAUCGGCACCCGACGCAGGACCAUCCCGAGGGGGGUCCAUGGUAUGAAGGUUAUUGAGGGAGUCCUGGAUUAGGGGGUCCUCGGACAGCCGGACUAUAUCCUUUGGCCGGACUGUUGGACUAUGAAGAUACAAAAUUGAAGACUUCAUCCCGUGUCCGGAUGGGACUCUCCUUGGCGUGGAAUGCAAGCUUGGCAAUACGGAUAUGUAGAUCUCCUCCCUUGUAACCGACUCUGUGCAACCCUAGCCCCCUCCGGUGUCUAUAUAAACCGGAGGGUUUAGUCCGUAGGACAACAACAAUCAUACCAUAGGCUAGCUUCUAGGGUUUUAGCCUCUACGAUCUCGUGGUAGAUCAACUCUUGUAAUACUCAUAUCAUCAAGAUCAAUCAAGCAGGAAGUAGGGUAUUACCUCCAUCGAGAGGGCCCGAACCUGGGUAAACAUUGUGUCCCCCGCCUCCUGUUACCAUCCGCCUUAGACGCACAGUUCGGGACCCCCUACCCGAGAUCCGCCGGUUUUGACACCGACAUUGGUGCUUUCAUUGAGAGUUCCACUGUGCCAUCACCGUAAGGCUUGAUGGCUCCUCCAAUCAUCGGCAACGAUGCGAUCCAGGGUGAGGUUUUCCUCCUCGGACAGAUCUUCGUAUUCGGCGGCUUCGCACUGCGGGCCAACUCGCUUGGCCAUCUGGAGCAGAUCGAGAGCUACGCCCCCGGCCAUCAGGUCAGGUUCGAAAACUUGAACUAUACUGCCGACACCCGCGGAGACUUGAUCUUCGACGGAUUCGAACCCAUGUCGGGUGCGCCGCACAAUCACGAUGAGCAUGACGUAACUCUGCCGCAGUGUUCGGGAGAUCACACCUGCAACUACUCCGGCCCUCAAUCUGGAACAAAUUGGGCCAUCCGAGGACGGGUGGAUAGAGCCCGCCAUGGAGGCCGCACUCUCAGUGGCGAUAGAGCCGAAUACUGACUUCACCCCUUACGAGAGCCGUGUUGCCGAACCAUUGGAUUCGUCCCCGGCCACGGGCUCCGAGCCGCCUGCGUCCGUGCCUAUCGAACCCGAUUGGGCACCGAUCAUGGAGUUUACCUCCGCGGAUAUCUUUCAGCACUCGCCUUUUCGCGAUGUGCUAAAUUCAUUAAGGUCUCUCUCCUUGUCAGGAGAACCUUGGCCGAACUAUGUCCAGCUAGAAUGGGAUGCGGACGACGAAGAAAUUCGCUCCCUACCCACCACCCACUUAGUAGCCACUGUCGACGAUUUAACCGACAUGCUCGACUUCGACUCCGAAGACAUCGACGGUAUGGACGACGAUGCAGGAGACGAACAGGAACCACCGCCCACAGGGCGCUGGACCGCCACCUCAUCAUAUGAUAUAUACAUGGUGGAUACCCCCAAAGAAGGGGAUGGCGACAAGACAACGGAGGAUAAUCCCUCCAAGAAGCAACCCAAGCACCGACGUCAGCGGCGCCGCUCUAAGUCUCACCAUAGCAAAAGCAGCGAUACCGGCACAAGAGACAAUAACACCCCGGAUAGUGCCGAAGACGACGAUAAUGCCCUCCAGCCAGACCUCGAGCGGGAGGAUGGACAAGCUAGCCCUCCGAAACAGGCAACAAACGGAGAAUCAGAGGAUGACAAUUACAUGCCUCUCUCCGAAGACGAAGUGAGCCUCGGCGACGAAGAAUUUGUCGUGCCUGAGGAUCCCGUCGAGCAAGAACGCUCCAAGCGCCGGCUUAUAGCCACAGCAGACAGCUUGAAGAAAAAGCAACAACAGCUUCGAGCUGAUCAAGAUCUGCUAGCGGAUAGAUGGACCGAAGUCCUGGCAGCCGAGGAAUACGAACUCGAGCGCCCAACCAAGAGUUAUCCAAAGCGCAGGUUGCUACCUCAACUCGAGGAGGAAGCAUUGAAACCUACAUCACCAGUGUAUGAUGCGGCUGAUCGGCCACCUCGUGGCCGAGACAGAGAGGCAUUUCAGCCUGAAGUCCAGCCCGCGCCCUGCCGCCAAUCAAAAAAAUACCAAGGCCCGGGGCAACACGCAGGACCUGCGAGACGUAUUGGAAAACAAGGCAAAACAUGCAAGAUCGAUCUACGGAUCACGGGGGUGCGCACCAACGCGGGACGAUGACCGUCAUGCCGGAUACACUAAAAGCAAAUCCGGCCGGGCAGAAUACAGCAGACAAGACUCAUAUGAACUGUGUUGUGACAUAGCUAGCCCGGCACAGAGGCGCCGCACACCCCCUAUGCUUCACUGAUGAAGUAAUGGAUCACGAAUUCCCAGAGGGUUUUAAACCCGUAAAUAUUGAAUCAUAUGACGGUACAACAGAUCCCGCGGUAUGGAUCGAGGAUUUCCUCCUCCACAUCCACAUGGCUCGCGGUGAUGAUCUACAUGCCAUCAAGUACCUCCCACUAAAACUCAAAGGACCAGCUUGGCAUUGGCUGAAUAGCUUGCCAGCAGACUCCGUUGGCAGUUGGGAGGAUUUGGAAGAUGCAUUCCUUGAAUACUUCCAGAGCACUUAUGUGCGACCACCGGAUGCUGAUGACUUGAGCCAUAUAACUCAGCAGCCAGGGGAAUCGGCCAGGCAAUUCUGGACCCGGUUCUUAACUAAGAAAAACCAAAUUGUCGACUGUCCGGAUGCAGAGGCCAUAGCGGCAUUUAAGCAUAACAUCCGUGACGAGUGGCUCGCCCGGCACCUCGGCCAGGAGAAGCCGAAGUCUAUGGCAGCCCUCACGACGCUCAUGACCCGCUUUUGCGCGGGCGAAGACAGCUGGCUGGCUCACAGCAACAACACAUCAAGAAGUCAUGGCACUUCAGAUACAAAGGAUACUAACGGCUGACCACGUCGUAACAGACACAAGCGCCACAACAACGGGGACAAUGCCGAGGACACGGCAGUCAAUGCCGGAUUCAGCGACUCUAAAUCCGGUCAGCGGAAGAAGCCGUUCAAAAGAAGCAAUCCGGGCCCGUCCAGUUUGGACCGCAUACUCGAUCGCUCGUGUCAAAUUCACGACACCCCCGAUAAGCCAGCCAAUCACACCAACAAAGAAUGCUGGGUGUUCAAGCAGGCCGGCAAGUUGAAUGCCGAAAACAGGGACAAGGGGCUGCAUAGCGACGACGAGGAGGAGCCCCGGCCGCCGAACAUGGGAGGACAGAAGAGGUUCCCCCCACAAGUGAAGACGGUGGACAUGAUAUAUGCAACCCACAUUCCCAAGAGGGAACGGAAGCAUGCACUAAGGGACGUCUAUGCGAUGGAGCCUGUUGCCCCAAAGUUCAACCCAUGGUCCUCUUGUCUGAUCACCUUCGAUCGCAGGGACCACCCCACUAGUAUCCGUCAUGGCGGAUCUACCGCAUUGGUCCUAGACCCCAUCAUUGACGGAUUUCACCUCACUCGAGUCCUUAUGGACGACGACAGCAGCCUGAACCUGCUUUAUCAGGAUACAAUGCGCAAAAUUGGUAUAGACCCCUCGAGGAUCAAACCCACCAAAACCACCUUUAAAGGCGUCAUCCCAUGUGUAGAGGCCCAUUGCACGGGCUCAAUCACACUGGAAGUGGUCUUCGGAUCUCCGGACAACUUCCGAAGCGAGCAGUUAAUCUUCGAUAUCGUCCCGUUCCGUAGUGGCUAUCACGCAUUGCUCGGGCGAACCGCAUUUGCAAGAUUCAAUGCGAUACCGCAUUACGCAUACCUCAACCUCAAGAUGCCAGGACCUAGCGGGGUUAUAACAGUCAAUGGAAACACAGAACGCUCGCUCCGCACGGAGGAGCACACCGCGGCCCUCGCAGCAGAAGCACAAAGCAGCAUUUUAAGGCAAACCGCCAAUUCGGCGAUAAAGCCCCCGGACACCUUUAAGCGAGUCCGGAGUAACCUGCAACAGGAUCGCCUAGCACGUUCAGAGCUCGCCUAGCAAUUCGGCCUCCGUCCUAGUCCCAAUCAAGCGACGAAAUUUACGCCGCGCGUACAUAAUUACACACUAAAAAUAGCAUGGGCAUAGGCGGGGGCACGACCAGGGCACGUCCCACAAUGCGGCUCAACCGCCCCAGGGGCCGUAUACCUUUAUCAUUUCCUCUCUUUCAGGACCUUACUCUCUGGAAGCCCUUUCCAGCAGUCUGAUUGCUGGACACAUUACGGGAAGGAACACCCAAGGAGGCAAGAAGCUAAGACGUACAAGGGAAUCCCCAGGUGGUCUCUGAUAACAAUCGAAGUACCCAUUUUUAAUACCCAUACGCAGCUUACCCUUGGACAGGACAUGUCAAAUAGUCAUAUUUUUUGCUUAUUGCAGUACUUGUAUCAGUACGCUUCGACGUAUUAUUUAAAUAGUAAUGCAUAGCAUUAGUCUAUUAUUGCAUUACCCUUACUUUUUCUUGUCUGUUUAUUUACGACAACUUGCACCCGUACAUUCUGGUACGACCAGUACGCCAAGGGCUUCAGUAUACCCCAUAAUACGGCGUGAGAAGUCCGAACACUUUUGACAGUGCGGCACCCCGAACUUAUAGCAUUAUAUGCAUCAGCUCCGAAUCAUGUCUUGGGUCAAUAGUUGGGUUUGCCCGGCUCCCAUGUUUUGGUACCUUACGUUCCGCAAUAUCGGCUAAGGUAGCGGUGGGAGAACUACUGCGAUUGUGUCCCGGUUCUUCCGGACGAGCACCUCAGUAGAGGAAGCCGAAAACUGACUGUCAUGAUAAGGCGAGAGCUGGUCGCUGUUCGAGAGGUCUCAAGUCCUUAAAAACUUUUUCCGCUUCGGGCGAGGAGUCGGCCUUGCCCGACUUAGGCGUAUAUAGCGCCCCAAAUUCGGCCUUCCGAAUACUAGGGGCUUCGCCAAAAUUUAAAAUUAUAGACUUCUAUGGCUAAGUGAGAGUGAUAAAGCCUUAUAGUCCGAUUGCCUGGUUCGUUGUGCUGAACACAUCCAUCGAAGGACCCAAAAUUGGGAUAAAGAGUGCUCAGGUUUAUCCAGAACACCCCAGUAUGGGGGUAGAAGCCGACGACUGGCCAACUCUCAGAUUUUAUAAACGACCGCACAGAAGGUAAUAUUUUAAAUUCAAAAGCGUUGCAUAGCACAAAUGAACUCGUUUCAUACUACAGGAUCACAUGAGUACGUUCAUUCAAAUAUUACAUCUUUAGCACAUUCCUCCGCCACAAGGCGGGAACCCUUCAGGACACUGUCAUAAUACAUUUCGGGGUGGCGAUGCUCCUUGCCUUCCGGCGGCCCCUCCUUCACCAGCUUUAUGGUGUCCAGCUUCGCCCAGUGCACCCUCGCCCGGGCAAAAGCCCUGCGCGCACCCUCGAUGCAGACGGACCACUUUAUGACUUCAAGCCGUGGGCAGGCAUUCACAAGCCGCCUCACCAGACCGAAGUAGCUGUCAGGCAGGGGAUCGCCAGGCCACAUCCGGACUAUAAGACCCUUCAUGGCCUGUUCGGCCGCCGUGUGGAGCUCGACCAGUUGCUUCAGCUGGUCGCUCAAGGGCAUUGGGUGUUCGGUCCCAGUAUACUGAGACCAGAACAACUUCUCCGUCGAGCUCCCCUCCUCAGCCCGGUAAAACUCUGCGGCCACCAACACACUACGGGGAAGAUCUGCGAACGCUCCUGGAGAGCUCCGAACUCGGGUAAGUAAAAGGAAAGUUUCCUUCACAUGCUUGCUUUGCAUAAUGAAUGCCUUAUCCGCUGCUAUCUUCUUAACCGCCUCAAUCUCCUAGCGGGCCUUGUGGGCUUCAGCCUUGGCGUUUUGUGCACUUUCGAGGGCCUUCGCAAGCUCGGACUCUCGCGUCUUAGAGUCAAGCUCCAGGGACUCGUGUUUUUUGGCGAGAGCCUGGAGCUCUUCCUGCACCUCGCCUACCCGGGCUUCUUGCUUUUCUCGCUCGAUGCGCUCCUUGGCCGCUUUGUCUUCGGCCUCGGACAGCGCCUUCUUCAGGGUCGCCACUUUGGUCGUGGCCCCUGGCAAAUUCAUGAUGAUCCUAUUAUUUUACAACCAAAUUUCUUUUUAAUAUAUAGACAGGGUAUCGCUUACCUUUGUUCUCUUCGAGCUGCCUCUUGGUAAGGCCGAGCUCUUCCUUGGACCGCUCAAGGUCCUGCUUCAGUGCAGCGACCUCCGCAGUACGUGCGGCAGCGGCCAGCAGUGAAGCCUGCAUAUGCACAUAGACAUAUUCUGAUUAAACUCCUGAGUCAUUAUUUGAUCCUCUAUUCGGCCUUUCUUCGCGAACGCCAAACAGAGCAUCAGGGGCUACUGUCUAUGCGGUAAUAUUUUCCUAUAAUUUGAUUACUUACCUGAAAGCCUGUUAGGAGGCUGGCACAAGCUUCAGUUAGUCCGCUUUUGGCGGAUUGAACCUUCUCGAUCACCGCACUCAUGAUAGUGCGGUGCUCUUCAUCGAUGGAAGCGCCGCGAAGCGCUUCCAGCAAGUUGUCCGGUGCCUCUAGAUGGACAGAGGUCGCUGGCACGGGCGGCUUGCCCCUCUUAACGGGGGGUCCCCUGACAGAGUCCGGAACCACUGGAGGUUCCGGCGCAGUGUUCGGCUGUAGGCCGAAUUCGGAGCCCAGGAGAGUCUUGCUCCCUUUGCGCCCAGGGUCCGGAAUGUCGCCUCGAGGCGCCUCCAGGACUACCUCCCCUCGGCUCGGUGCCCUUUGAGACAACACCUCGACGUUGUCCGUAGGGCGAGGGGUGGAGGUGGUUGGAAGUGAAUCGCUAUUCAUAUCCGAUGGGUCCAAAGAACCAUCCGACGAAGAUACGUCGAUACGGGCUCGGGACGGACUGCAUAAUCAUGUUCGGCGUGAUGAGAAGCAGUGCAAUAAAACAUACCAUGAAUUGCUAUGGUAUCCGGAUACUUACGACUUCGCCAGGGGCUUGUCCCUGGGCAUCCACUCGCCGUCGCUGUAGGCGGCCGUCGUGGAGCAGUCCGGGAGGAGGGUCCUUCCCUUCUUGGACCCUUCGGCCUCCCCGGAUGGGGCGGCCUUCUUUUUCUUGUCUCCCCCGGCUGGAGGGGGGAGAACUUUCCACUUCCUCCUCCUCGUUUUUGUGGGAGGAGUGUGCCUCGGAGUUUUCGGACGAUGAGUCCGAUAUAACCUUGCGCCGGAGACCCUUCCGGGUCCCCGUGGCCUUCUUCUUGGCCUUCUUCACCGGCACCUCGUAAGGCGCCGGAACCAGCAUCUUCGUUAAGAGAGCAUCUGCUGGAUCCUCAGGCAGGGGGGCUGGGCAAUCGAUCUGCUCCGCUGUCUCUACCCAGUCCUGUUAAUGGCAUGGAGGCUUAGAUCCCACACAUGAUUAAACCGGGGAAAAUAAAACAUCCUGUGAGAUAUAAAAAACUUACCGGAUUGGCAUGGCGCUUUGCGCUGAGUCCGCGGUCCUCGGUAAGGGGAGGAGGUACCUCGGCGCCCUUGAACAACAUGUCGGGUGGUUGGUGCGACAUAUGCCAAGGGAUGGCUUAUCAUUGUGGGAGCCAAUAAAACGUCGCCGGUGCCUGGAAACGGGAUGAGGCGAAGACAUGCACGCCGGCGAAUCUUACCCAGGUUCGGGGCUCUCCGAGGAGAUAACACCCCUAGUCCUGCUCUGCGGGGUCUCCGCAUGAUCACUAGAUCGAUAAAGGGUAGCUACAAUCGCUCCUAGAGCUGUUGGGAUCAAGGGAGAAGAAGAACAAGGCUAGCUCUUGCUUCUCUCUAUCUAUGGUGUGUGUGUGUGCUAUGCUUGCAAGCCAAACAUGCAGAGGUGCGAACCCUUUGCAUGGGUGCUCCAGGGGGGUUUAUAUAGGCCUACCCCCCGGGGGUACAAUGGUAAUCCGACUGGGAUCUGGUCCCAGCCGUCAGUGUCUACGCUCGCCGGCUUCUCCGCCGGCUGCUGGGUCCCGCCGGCUGGUGGGUCCCGCCAGCUGCCGGCUACCUGGUCGACAGGCCGGCCCCACCGCUUAGGGCUUUGUCGGCGGCUGCUUACUGUAGCCGCGCCUCUGAUGAUGAGGGCUUUGUCGAGGUGAGCGUGGCUACAGUGGGCCGCCCCGGGGGCUAUCACUGUAGCCUCACCUCGUCUUGUCUCCUUAAUGGGGCUCCUGCUUCGAGGAAGGGAGUGGCCGGUUUCUGGAGGCCGGCUAUACUCUUGGCCGACUAGGAAGGGCUGGGCCGCCUUCACGCCUCUCUCUGGCUGAAGGGGCCCGCAGUCCUUGGGCCGUAUAGGAGUGGGUCGUGGAUGACGUCGUAGCUGGCGUGGCUACAGUGCCGGGCCGCACGGGAGACACCCCCCCGUACGGCCUCCUGUAGCCAUGCCCGCCUCGGGCUUCGGGGGUCGUGGGCCGCACUGUGGCCAUGCCCCGUCAAGUCGUCGUUAUGUAGGAGUGGUUGUGAUCUUGGCCGGCUUCUAGGAGUCAGCGUCCUUCUUGGCCGGCUUCUUGGAGUCGGUGCGGCUGGGUCGCCUUCCGGGAGUCGGCUUUAGUGGCAGCCGGCCGGGGAAGGCGGCCCAAAUGCUUGGAGUGCUUGAAGGCCCAAAGGCCUGAUAAAUUUUCUGAAGAGCCAGGGGUAGUCGGUUAGGCUACCCGUGGCCAUUUACCCCGACAGUAGUCCCCGAAGUUGGUUGAGCUUCGAGGUGGAGUGGGGUUCAAGAAGCUCGAUCAGCUUCCUAUCGUGACGAGCCGGCAGCUGGGAGCCGGCCUCGAUCAGGCGCGCCGCCUUAGUCGAAUUCUUCUGGAGUCGGGGGGCGGGAACCCGCAGGGACGCGCACCGGGUCGCGAGCCGGCUAUGGGCCGUUGGCGCGCCACGUGGCCGGAAAGCCUGCCAGCCCACGCGCGUGACGGGACGUCGCCUCAGAGAGGGGGCCCGCCACGUCCGCGCCCCGGCCCAGGUGCGGAUCCUUUGCAUCCCGAAACCGCCCGCACGUUCCGUGCGGCAGUUUCGGCUCGCACUUAUGCGUAAUAAACCCGAGACGUGGGGGGAGUGGGCGCAGUUAAUCCCACGUCUCCCCCCCACGUCCGGCCUCUUCGGCCGCGUGAGGCUAUAAGUAGGGGGAGGUGGAGGGCGGCAGGCCCUCGCACGCUCCUCCUACUUCCACCGUCUUCUGGCCUUGCUCGUUCUCGCGACAGCGCCUCGCCGCCGCGCUCUUCCUCCGCACGCUCCUCCGCCGCCGUGCUAGCUUCCGCCAUGCCUCCCCACGUAGAGCAGCUCGGCGGGGAUUGGGAUGGCUCCAUCGUUCACAACGACCACAUCGACUUCCUCCGCGACACCCGGCGUCUGCCCAGCGCGGACAAAGUGGAGGUCCGCCUCGCGCCGGAGAAGGAGGUCAGGCCGGCACCGCGGGAGGUCGAGCGGGUGGUCUUCCGCUCGCACUUCCUGCGCGGCUUCGGCCUGCCAGUGAGCGCCUUCUUCCGCUCCUGGCUGGACUUCUAUCAACUCCAGCCGCACCACCUCACCCCCAACGCGGUGGUGCUGCUGUCGGCCUUCGUCACCCUGUGCGAGGGCUAUCUUGGCGUCCUCCCCACCCUCGAGCUUUGGGGGGAGUUCUUCCAGUCGAAGCUGGGCACGCGCGUGCGGGGCGUGCCGGCUCAGACCGGCGCCUUCAUCGCGUCGCGGAGAUCAGGCGCCGACAACCCCUUCCCCAUCAUCACCCUGAUCCAAUCGGUGAAGAAGUGGCAGAAGUCAUAUUUCUACGUGCGGAGCAUCGCUCCCCGGGGCGACUACCUCAACCUGCCGGCCUACGUGGCCGGCCCGCCGGCGGGCAGGCUCCCCCAGUGGUCCUUCCGGGCCGUGACGCUGUCGCCGGGGGGAAACGCCGCCAUCGCCCGCCUGUGGGUGAUGGUCCAGUCGGAGGGCCUGACGGGGUCCGACCUCCUGGCCGCGUUUGUCACGCGCCGGGUCCUUCCGCUCCAGAGCCGGCCUCAUCUGAUCUAUCAGAUGAGCGGCCAGCUCGAUCCGAGCCGGAUGUGCACCAAGGAGAUGCCGCAGCCUGACGCCGCCGACAUGGUGAACUACCUCGCCAACUGCCAGCUUUCCGAAGACUGGCAAUUCGGCAAGGAGCCCUACAGCCGCGCCAAUCCUCCGCCUACGGUACGCUCCCCUCGUCACUUUUUCUCUUUCUCUCUCUCAGCCUUGUCGCCGAGUUCCUCUGGGCCGAUUCUAACUCAGUCGGCUUGCAUUUUUGACAGAGUCCUCUGCUUCGGCCGGCCGGUGGGGCAGACGUGGAGCGCCGCUUCAUCCCCGACCGGACCGAACACGACCAGGAGGACCCCGACCUGGGGGCGGUCCAUAUGGAGGAUGCCGCCGAGCCGGCCGGCGGCCAAGCCGGCGGCGAAGCAGGCGGCUCCGGGUUCACCGCGACCUUCGACGACUGGCCGGACGAGGGCGAAGCCGAAGCCGUCCCGCCCCGCUAGCCGACCUCCGGACGCGGCGCGGGCUCCUCCGGCGCGCAGCCUGCUCGGGGUAGAGGCCAGAAGCGUCGCGCCACCCAGGGCAUGUUCGGCAGCCGGACGAAGAAGCCCAGGGGUGGGGCGGCGGCCACCAGGCGGGAGGAGGCGGCCGCGAAGGCGGCUCGCUUCCGCAAAGUGGUGAAGCAGCUGCAGACUGUGUCGGCGUAAGUUUUCUCUUCUAUGUACUGUCCAUCUUUCUUUCCUUUGGUGGUUCUUGAGUCUUCGUCUUCUUUUUCAAUGGUCAGAGCUCCGCUAUCACUUGAGCGGACGGAUGCCGGCUCCGUCAUCGAGUCGCCAGGGGGCUCUGGGAGCACCACCCGCCGCGUAGAUCCCUGCGCCGCCCUCCUGGAGGCGACGGAAAGGAACGCGCGGGAGGCGCGGGAGGAGCAGGAAGCGCGGGAGGCGGAGGCACGGAGGGCAGCCGCCGCCCAGGCAGCUCGGGAGGAGGAGGCGGCGAAGGCGCUCGCCGAGGCCGCAGCCAAGGCCCAGGCAGAGGCCGAGGCCGAAGCGGGGGCAGGGGAGGCCUUGAUGGUCACCCCCCUGCGCACCAUGGCGCCCGGGGACGUGGAUCCCUCGCCGGGGGGAGCCAGCGGUUCCCAGCCGGGGCUGGGAGGAAGCGGCGAUGACGUCGUCAUCUUGGGGGAGGCGCCGGGGCCGACUCCUCCGACUAGGACGACCCAAGGCCGCCAGCCUGAGCCUGCGCCCGCACAGUCGGCGGGGGGCGAGCCGGCCGCGGGGGCUGAGGUGGCGGUCCGGGUUCCGCCAAGCCGGCGCGCGGGGAAGGCUGCGUCUGAACCGCAGAGGGCUGCGUCGGAGCCACAGCCGGCCGUGGGCUCCAGUUCAUCGGCCCGAGACGCGGAGGCGGCCAGCGCUACCUCGGGGUGGACGCCGGGCGGAGGGACAGCCGUGGUGAACGUCGCUGCACAAGACGUCCGGACCCGGUUGCAAGGCCAAGCCGCGGCGCUGAGGCAGUUCACCGACGAAUUCCUCGCCACGCGGGCAGCCAUCCGGGUUAGUAUUCUCAUCUUGUUCUUUCUUGAUCUUGAUUUCUCUCGUGGGGGCGCGUCACCGCACCCACUGGGUGUAGUCCCCGAGUUCUGAGUCGGCUGCUGAGCAGGCGGCUUGGAACUUCUUGGAGACUUUGUUUUUGCUGCUUUGUUCUCACUUCGGUCUUCUGUCCGUCUUGCGGGACUACCACAACCUCCGAGCGGCCGCCUUCAACUCCCAGGCUCGGGAGCUGACUCAGAAGACCGCCGAUCUCACUGAAAGCCGAGGUAUGUAACUUGAUCUUUAUCUCAUGUGGGGGCGCGUCAGCGCACCCACUGGGUGUAGUCCCCGAGAUUCGGGCCGACUGCUGAGCAGUCGGCUCGGAUCUUCCUUGAUGAUUUCUCAUUCUUCUUCUUCUUCUUCUAUCUCUGCAGCGGCCAACGCCGGUCUGAGGGCACAGCUGGGAGAGUCCCAGACUGCUCUUCGUGCCAAGGACGCGGAGCUCGCCGCCUUGGUGCAGGAGCGCGACCGCCUGGUCAAGAAGCUGGCCGACCAGGAGGAAAGCCACCAGGCGGCGCUGAAGGCUGCGCAGGAUCGCGAAGCCACCCUCCAGGCCGAGUUCGAGAUAGAGGCGGCCGGCUGGGCAGAGGCCAGGCAGACUCUGGUCUCCGGCUAUGGCCAGAUUGAGGACCUGGUUGACGGUAAGUCGUCUACCCCUUCAUCCUUUCUAGCCAUCUGCCACUUCGGCUUGUUUUUCUGAUUUUGGUGUUCUUCUUUCCUUUUCUCCUUCGCGUAGAGUACUUCCCUGGCUACUCAACUGCUGCCAACCAGGCCAUCGAAGCUCGUCGCCAGGCGAAGAGGCAAGCCGGCUUCGAGAUCUCGCCCACCGCCGGCCGCUCGCUGGAGGAGCAGCUCCUGGCGAUCCAGGCUCCUAUCCAGCCGGCUCACAGGCUGCUCCGCCGGCUUCAGCGUGCCGGGUCGCAGGUCUUGGCCGCCCUCUGGCCCGGCCAAGUGGUCCCGCGCACUCCCAGUCGGACCGCCGACUGGCUGGAGGUGGCCGUCGGCCGCUUCGAGGCUUGGAAGGCGUCAGCGGCUCGCUCCGGCGCCAGGCGGGCGCUGGAGUUCGUCAAGGCCUGGUAUCCCGGCCUGAACCUGGACCAGCUGGCGACCUGGCGGCAGCAAGCCGAGGCGGAGCUGGAGCCGGCGUGGCCGGCCAUCAUUCGGCGGGCUUCGGCGAUCGCCGACUACACCGACACCAGUGUCUUCGCCCCCGAGGUGGACGGCGAUGGAGUCGCCCAGCCGGAAGAUUGGUUCGGGCUGGAUCCGGCGCAUGGCGAGGACUCGGCGGAGGAGAUCGACUCCAGCGACGAGGGCGAGGAGGAGGAGGAGGGUGAAGACGCCGAGCCGGCUGGUGGAGAAGCCGGCCAGCCUGACCGCGCCUCCAGCACUACGUCGCGUGCGAGUGCAUCUCCUGCCGCGGGAGGUGGUCAAGCCGGGACCAACUAGGCGGCCACUCCUUCAGCCGGCGAGCUGCCUUCACCGAUCAGCUCGGCCUCCAAGUCACGCCUUAGUCUUCUUUCUUUUGUUUUCCUGUCUUGUUACUUUUGAACAAUGUUUGGUUAAGUCUGCACAAUUCCACCCACUGGGUGUAUUCAAACUUAAGUCUGUUGCCGGCCUGUGGGCGGCUUUAUGUAUAUAAGUUAUGCAAUCGAUUUUUCCUUGUACUUUCGCUUUUUGUCCUUCUGCUUUUUUUCCUUUGCCGCCCUCCCUUGGUUGCCGCCUCCCUAGUCAAACAGUUGCUCUGCAAUCUGUAGCCGGGGAGUGCCUGGCCGAUUGGGGGGGGGGAAGUACUUUUAGCUCUGCUGGACUUAAGCUAAGUUUUUUGGGAAGCCGGCCAGCCGGCUGCUGUGACAGCCGGCAGGCGUAUAUGGAGGCCGUCUCUUUGCUAUAUAGGUUAGUUGUUCCUUAGCCGUUUUUCGUGUGGGCGUCCUUUCUGUCUUUCCUCUUGCUAGUCGGACAGUCAGUUCUUUGAGCUGCGACUUUCAACAAGGGGGGACUUGGGAGCCGGCACACUACUUUGCUGACUUCGGGAAGAACUUAGAAUAUAGCUCAAGGCGGCCAGUCCCCGGGCCGACUAGUCGGACCCGGUGCCGGACAAGAAUUCAAAAUGUAAUAAUACAUUCAUGGAUAUGACACUCGUCAUUCAUAGAUAAAUAAAAGGCAGUCCCCGAGUACUGUUCGGGGGGCCUGUUGGUUUGUAACUUAAUACAAAAGGGGUAGCGUGGUACAUACUGCUUUUCAGCUGUAAAAUCGUCUUAGGAGAUUUGCGUUCCAUGGUCGCUCCGACUCCUUGCCGGAGUCGUCUCUCUUGCGUGCUCUUGGCUUUUGUGCGUCGAUCAAGUAGUAGGAGUCGUUGCCGAGUGCCUUGCUGACGACGAAGGGGCCUUCCCAAGGGGCCGAGAGCUUGUGCUGGCCGGCUGUUCGCUGGAUCAGCCGGAGCACAAGGUCGCCCUCUUGGAAGGAUCUUGGCUUGACCUUGCGGUUGUAGUAGCGGCGCAGGCCUUGCUGGUAGAUGGCGGACCGGCUGAGGGCCAACAGCCGGCCUUCUUCCAGUAGGUCGACGCCGUCUUCUCUUGCUUCUUUGGCUUCCUCCUCCGUGUACAUGGUGAUCCGAGGCGAGUCGAACUCGAUGUCUGUUGGGAUGACAGCCUCGGCACCGUACACAAGGAAGAAUGGAGUGAAGCCGGUUGACUUGUUGGGUGUAGUGCGCAGACUCCAGAGGACAGCCGGCAGCUCUUCGAGCCAGCAGCCGGCCGAUCGCUCCAGUGGUACAACCAAUCGGGGCUUGAUGCCGGAGAGGAUAAGUCCAUUUGCUCGCUCGACCUGGCCGUUUGACUGCGGGUGGGCAAUGGACGCUAAGUCCAGUCGGAUGCCCUGUGUCGCGCAGAAACGUGCCAGUGGGCCUUUGGCGAAGUUCGUGCCGUUGUCGGUGAUGAUGUUGUGCGGCACGCCGUACCGAGUAGUGAUGUCGGUGAUGAAUGUCACGGCAGUCUGCCCGUUCAGCUUCUUAAUUGGCUUGGCUUCAAUCCACUUUGUGAACUUGUCCACAGCGACGAGUAGACGUGUCAAGCCGCCGCGGACUGUCUUGAAAGGGCCCACCAUGUCCAGUCCCCAGACGGCAAAAGGCCAGGUGAGGGGAAUGGUUUUGAGGGCAGAAGCCAGCAGGUGUUGUUUGGAACUGAAGACUUGACAUCCUCUGCAGGUCUUGACUAUUUCUUUAGCAUCCUCCAAGGCAGUCGGCCAGAAGAACCCAUGGCGGAAAGCCUUGGCCACGAGGGAUCUUGAGGCGGCGUGAUGGCCGCAUUCGCCUUGGUGGAUGUCUUUGAGGAUUGCCACUCCUUUUUCUGGCUCGACGCAACGCUGGAAGACUCCAGUGACGCUGCGCUUCACAAGCUCCCUGUUGAUUAUUGUGUAGCCCGCGGCUCGUCGUUGCACUAGUCUUGCUGCGAUCUCAUCAGCCGGCAGCUCUCUGCUGACUAGGAACUUGAGGAUGGGCUGGGCCCAUGAGGGAGCUGUGACUUCUUCUGCUGUUAAUGUGGCCACCAUGACUCGGGUGGGUGGGUUGGGUGUUGCAUUAGAGUCGACCACCGCUUCUUGUGUCGUAGCAGUCCCCGGGCCGACUGCUGCAGUCCCCGGGCCGGGCUCUGAAGUCCCUGGGCUGGGUGCGACUACGUCAGUCCCCGGGGCAGUCGUCGAAGUCCCCGUGCCGCCUGCGGGAUUUCUUGAGCCGGAUCCGGCUGUUUCUGGCGCAGGCGGUACGAAGAUGGAAUCCGACUCUGGAGAGGGCUUGAUGGACGGCUUGAGGAGGCGCUGGAGGGAGACGCCAGUCGGUAUGGCUUGUCGGGUGGAGCCGAUCCGUGCUAGGGCAUCUGCUUGGUCGUUGUCGGCCCUUGGCACGUGAAGGAACUCGCACCCUUCGAAGUAUCCGCUCAUCUGCUGGACGAGGAAACGGUAGCUUGCCAUGUUUGCGUCCUUGGCGUCCCAGUCGCCAGAUGAUUGCUGGAUCACUAAGUCUGAGUCGCCGUAGCACAGGAUCCGGCGUAUGCCGAGUUCUUUGGCUAGCCGGAGCCCAUGUACGAGCGCCUCGUACUCGGCCACGUUGUUGGAGGCGGCGAAGUGGAUCUGCAGCGUGUACUUGAGCUUGUCGCCUUUGGGAGAGGUGAGGACGAUGUCGGAUCCCAAGCCGGUGCGCAUCUUGGACCCGUCAAAGUGCAUCCGCCAAUGGGUGGAGUCGGGAGCCGGCGGUAAGUAUUGGGUCUCGGCCCAGUCGACGAGGAAGUCGGCCAAUGCUUGCGACUUGAUGGCGGUGCGGGGUUGAUAGAAGAUCGUGUAGGGCGCCAAGGCAAUGGCCCAUUUGGCCACCCGGCCGGAUGCAUCCCGGCUGCCUAUGAUCUCGGCGAGCGGGGCAGUGCACACGACCGUGAUGGGGUGCUCUUGGAAGUAGGGCUUCAAUUUCUUGGCAGCGAAGUACACCCCAUAGCACAUCUUCUGGUAGUGCGGGUAAUUUUGCUUUGAGCUGGACAGUACUUUGCUAAGAUAGUAGACCGGCCUCUGGACCAGUUGGGCUCGGCCUUCCUCCUGGCGCUGGACCACAACAACAGUGCUGACGACUCGGCUUGUCGCGGCGAUGUAGAGGAGCAUGGGCUCCUUCUCAGUCGGCGCAGCCAAGACAGGCGGAGUGGUCAACAUUUUCUUCAACUCAUGGAAGGCUUGGUCGGCUUGAUCAUUCCACUCAAAGUGAGUGGACUUCUUCAUGAGUCGGUACAGGGGGGAGGGCCUUCUCUCCUAGUCGGCUGAUAAAUCGGUUCAGGGAGGCUAAGCAGCCAGUGAACUUCUGCACAUCUCGCAGCUUGGUGGGAAUCUCCAUCCUCUCGAUGGCUUUGAUCUUGACAGGGUUGCACUCAAUGCCGCGUUCGGAGACCAGGAAACCUAGCAGCUGGCCGGCUGGCACUUCGAACACGCACUUCUCGGGGUUGAGCUUGAUCUGGAAUCGGCGCAAGUUGGCAAAUGUUUCCUUCAGGUCUUCCAGCAGGGUACCGCGCUUCUCUGUCUUCACCACAAUGUCGUCUACAUAGACGUGGGCAUUUCUGCCGAGUUGUUUCAAGAGACAUUUCUGCAUGCAACGCUGAAAAGUGGCACCAGCGUUUCUCAAGCCGAAUGUCAUUGUCAGGUAGCAGAAAGCUCCAAAGGGUGUGAUGAAGGCAGUCUUCAGGCGGUCAGCCGGGUCCAACUUGAUCUGAUGAUACCCUGAGUAUGCAUCCAAAAAACUUAACAACUCGCAUCCGGCUGUGGAGUCUAUCACUUGGUCAAUCCGUGGCAAAGCAAACGGAUCCUUUGGGCAGGCCUUCUUUAAGCUUGUGUAGUCUAUGCACAUGCGCCACUUGUUAUUCUUCUUCAGAACCAGAACUGGAUUGGCAAGCCAUUCUGGAAAGAACACUUCCAUGAUGAAGCCGGCUGCAAGGAGCCGGGCUAUCUCUUCUCCCACGAUUCUUCGCUUCUCUUCUGAUAGUCGGCGGAGGGGUUGCUUAACCGGCCUCGCAUCAGCUCGGACAUGUAAUUUGUGCUCGGCGAAAUCCUUCGGGAGACCCGGCAUGUCCUUUGGGGACCAUGCAAAGAUGUCUCGAUUCUCACGGAGGAAGUCGGCGAGCUCUCCUUCCUAUUUGCUGUCCAAGUUCGCCCCAAUCACGGCGAACCUCUCCGGGUGCUCCGGGUCUAGAGGUAUCUUCUUUGUCUCUUUCGCAGGCUGGAAGGAGCCCUGCGCAUCACAGUCCUUGGGGUUGGGGGACAAGGCCGGCUGCUUGCCGGCCAUGGCCACAACCCGCUCCAACAUCUUCUUCUCUUCGGCCACCACGAGGGACUCGGCCAGCCGGCUGCUGGCCAUAGCACACUCGAUGGACUUCUUGUAGUCGCCGGCUACCGUGAUGAUCCCCUUCGAGCUCGGCAUCUUCAUCUUCAGGUAGGCAUAGUGGGGCACAGCCAUGAACUUGGCCAACGCAGGUCGGCCAAGCAGCGCAUGAUAGGGGCUCUCCAGGUCCACCACCUCGAACCAUAUCGCUUCCCGGCGGAAGUGAUCUUUGUCUCCGAAGAGAACAUCCAUUUUGAUCUUGCCGAUUGGGAGCAAGAUAGGCCGGGUACGAUACCAUGGAAGACAGUGCGGCUCGGCAUGAGCUGCUUUGCUUUGAUGUUCAGCUUGUCCAUGGUGUCGCGGUAUAGUAUGUUGAUACUGCUUCCGCCGUCUAUCAGGACGCGGGAAAAUCUGGCAGCUCGCCUCUCCGUCGCAAGGGUGACGUCCAAGACCAUAGCAUAGGAGCCAGGCGAAGGCAUCACCUCUGGGUGGUCGGCCUGGCUCCAGCUGAUGGGCUUUUCCGACCAGUGCAUGAAUUCGGCGGUGCUAGAGGCGACUGCGUUUACUUCUUGGUGUUGCCGGCGUCGGCUGCGCUUGUCGUCGACUUGGCUUGUGAAGACGACGUAGGCGUCGUGCGCUUCGGGGAACUCGUCUUGGAUGGCGCCGACUGCCGGCCGGGCCGCCGGCUGCUGGGGAGCUGGAGGCGGCGGGCCGGGAGGCGGAGGCGGCACCAUCCCUUCACCCUUGGUGAUGCGGGUGAGCCAGUGGCAUUUCCGCGUUGUAUGGUUGGACGGCUUCGCGCCGCUGUGGAACUUGCAGGGAGCAUUGAGUGCUUGUUCGUAGGAGAAGGACGGCUGCCAGGGCGGCCGACCACCCUUCUUCUUGGGAGCGGGCCGCUCCUCGGGCUGCUCGUCUUCAAUGGUGGCCACCUGCCGACUGGAGGAAGUCGGCAUGGGGCCCUUGCGCUUGUGGUCGUUCUGGUAGGGGCGCCGGUUAGGGUCGCCAGUCGGCGUCUUGGGAGCCGGAGCAACUACUUUCCCCGAGGCGUCCACUCGGAGCUUGGUCUUCAUGGAGGAGUCGGCAGUGGCGUACUUGUCGGCGGUGAUCAGCAACUCAUCGAGGGUAGCCGGCUCGUCGCAGAGGAGUCGGUGCUUGAGGAGGGUGCCCUCUCGGCACCCGGCGGUGAAAUAUUCGAUGGCCUGGACCUCGUGCACUCCCUCGCAGGAGUUGCGGAGCUCGGCCCAUCGCGUGAGGUAGUCGCGGGUCGACUCGUUGGGCCCUUGGACGCAGAGGGAGAGCUGGCGAGGCUUGGGAGGCCGCUUGUAGGUGCUGGUGAAGUUGCGGACGAAAACUUCGGUGAAGUCCAGCCAGCUGUUGAUGCUGUAGGGCUUGAGGCUGUUGAGCCACGUGCGCGCCGUGCCUUGCAGCAUCAAGGGGACGUACUUCACGGCGACGCGCUGAUUGCCGUGGGCGAUGCUGGCGGCUGUGGAGUAGUCGAUGAGCCAAUCUUCCGGCUUCACCGAGCCGUUGUCCUUGGGUGUGUCUCUGGGGAGCGAGAACCCUUUGGGGAAGGGCUCGUCGCGGAUGCGGGGGCCAAAGCAUGGCGGGCCGACAUCGUCUUCUUCUUCUAACGCCAAGGACCGAGCAAGGCGGUCGAUCCUGUGGCGGGCGUCAUUCUCGCCGACUCCUUCUCGGCGGCCAAGUCGGUCGCCAAGAGUCGGAUGGGUGACAGGCGGUGGAGUGAGGCGUCUUUCUCUUCGAGGCGGGGGAGGAGGCAGGUUUCCUUGGUGCUCUACAGCUCGAGGGCGACCAUCCGCGUCGCGCUCGAUGGUAAUGCGAGUCCGGCUGCGGCUGGCAGCCAGCUCCUUGUCUUUCUUCUGGCGCGUGCCGCUCGCAGUCGGCGAGCGGGACGUCGCGGCGUGCUCCCGGCGCGGGGGAUGACUAUCAGCACGGGCGCCGGCUUCGUGCCGUUCUGCAGCCGCGUCGAUCAGCUGCUGGAUCCGUCUUGUCAUGUAGGGGAGCUCAUCGGCUCCCAACCCAUUGAGCUCCUCUGCAGCCGCCUGAGCGGCUCGCAGAUUCUCGAGCGGGGUGGCGUAGACGGGGCGAUCUGCGCCCAGCAUGCUGGCAACGGCUGCGCCGCGCUUCUGGACGAAGCCGGCUCGGCUCGGGCCGCUAGGCGGCGGCGUCCCGAAGGCGGCGCGGUCGACUUCGCGCUGGUGGGCCUCGGUGAGGCGUCUCAUCGAGGCUAUCUUCUUGCUCUCCGCGAUGAGGGCAAGGCGACGUGCCUCCAGGGUCUCGGCGUCGGCGUCGGCCGGGAUGGGGACGGAGAGGUCGUGCAUCGCCGCUUGUUGAGCGUCGCGGGCGUUCUCGCCCGAGUUGGAGACGUGGCUGAUGACCAGCACUUCGGUGACAGCGCUGCUGCCGCUGUCAGCUCGAGGGAGGGGGUCGUCGAAGACCACCACGUCGGAGGGGUAGGCGUCAAGCGACGCGGUGUCGGAGUCGAUGAGCAUCGGGUCGGUGGAGCCGACCGACUCCAUGUCCGCAGCAGGCUCGCCGGAGACGUGAAGUUGGUCGAGGAGGCUGACGAGGCGGCUCUCAGGGUAGUCGGUGCCUGCGUCGGACGCAGGCUCGUCGGAGAUGCGAGUCUCGCCGAGCAGAUCGGCGAGGCGGCUCGCUGCGCAGGCGUCGUCGACGCUUUGCAGCGCGUCGGGGCAAACGCCAUCGGGCGCAGCAGGCUGGCUGCGCUCGCGGGGAAGGAAGAGGGUUCCCGUCCAAAACAGGUCUCCGGACAACGGUGCACCUGGCCCCACGGUGGGCGCAAAAUGUCGGGUGGUUGGUGCGACAUAUGCCAAGGGAUGGCUUAUCAUUGUGGGAGCCAAUAAAACGUCGCCGGUGCCUGGAAACGGGAUGAGGCGAAGACAUGCACGCCGGCGAAUCUUACCCAGGUUCAGGGCUCUCCGAGGAGAUAACACCCCUAGUCCUGCUCUGCGGGGUCUCCGCAUGAUCACUAGAUCGAUAAAGGGUAGCUACAAUCGCUCCUAGAGCUGUUGGGAUCAAGGGAGAAGAAGAACAAGGCUAGAUCUUGCUUCUCUCUAUCUAUGGUGUGUGUGUGUGUGCUAUGCUUGGAAGCCAAACAUGCAGAGGUGCGAACCCUUUGCAUGGGUGCUCCGGGGGGUUUAUAUAGGCCUACCCCCGGGGGUACAAUGGUAAUCCGACUGGGAUCUGGUCCCAGCCGUCAGUGUCUACGCUCGCCGGCUUCUCCGCCGGCUGUUGGGUCCCGCCGGCUGGUGGGUCCCGCCAGCUGCCGGCUACCUGGUCGACAGGCCGGCCCCACCGCCUAGGGCUUUGUCGGCGGCUGCUUACUGUAGCCGCGCCUCUGAUGAUGAGGGCUUUGUCGAGGUGAGCGUGGCUACAGUGGGCCGCCCCGGGGGCUAUCACUGUAGCCUCACCUCGUCUUAUCUCCUUAAUGGGGCUCCUGCUUCGAGGAAGGGAGUGGCCGGUUUCUGGAGGCCGGCUAUACUCUUGGCCGACUAGGAAGGGCCGGGCCGCCUUCACGCCUCUCUCUGGCUGAAGGGGCCCGCAGUCCUUGGGCCGUACAGGAGUGGGUCGUGGAUGACGUCGUAGCUGGCGUGGCUACAGUGCCGGGCCGCAUGGGAGACACCCCCCCCGUACGGCCUCCUGUAGCCAUGCCCGCCUCGGGCUUCGGGGGUCGUGGGCCGCACUGUGGCCAUGCCCCGUCAAGUCGUCGUUAUGUAGGAGUGGUUGUGAUCUUGGCCGGCUUCUAGGAGUCGGCGUCCUUCUUGGCCGGCUUCUUGGAGUCGGUGCGGCUGGGUCGCCUUCCGGGAGUCGGCUUUAGUGGUAGCCGGCCGGGGAAGGCGGCCCAAAUGCUUGGAGUGCUUGAAGGCCCAAAGGCCUGAUAAAUUUUCUGAAGAGCCAGGGGUAGUCGGUUAGGCUACCCGUGGCCAUUUACCCCGACACAACACCUUCCAGACGUCCUUGUGCGUCGUGUCGAAGAGCUCUCGCGGCGUCUGGUGCUCGGCCAGGUCGAACUCCCACAAAUUGAAUGCCCGUCGUUGACACGGGAGGAUCCGGCGGAAGAGCAUGACCUGGACCAUGUUGACAAGCUUGAUUUUCUUGCUCAUCAUGUUUCUGAUGCAUUUCUGGAGUCCGGUCAGCUCCACCGAUGAACCCCAGGACAGGCCCUUCUCUUUCCAGGAGGUGAGCCGCGUGGGGAUUCCGGAUCGGAAUUCGGGGGCCGCCACCCAGUUGGUGUCGCGCGGCUCGGUGAUGUAGAACCACCCCGAUUGCCACCCCUUUAUGGUCUCCACAUAGGAGCCUUCGAGCCAGGUGACAUUAGGCAUUUUGCCCACCAUGGCGCCUCUGCACUCCGCUUGCUGGUCGACCACCACCUUCGGUUUAACAUUGAAGGUCUUCAGCCACAGGCCGGAAGUGGGGCCUGAUGCGGAGGAAGGCCUCGCACACGACGAUAAACGCCGAGAUGUUGAGGAUGAAAUUGGGGGCCAGAUCGUGAAAAUCCAGCCCAUAGUAGAACAUGAGCCCGCGAACAAAUGGGUGGAGGGGAAAUCCCAGUCCGCGGACAAAGUGGGUAAGGAAAACCACCCACUCAUGGGGUUCAGGCGUAGGGAUGAUCUGCCCCGCAUCUCGCAGCCGGUGUGCAAUGUCCGCGGCCAGAUAUCCGGCUCCCCGUAGCUUUGUGAUGUUCUCCUUCGUGACGGAGGAGACCAUCCACUUGCCUCCCGCUCCGGACAUGCUUGGAGUGGUUUGAGGGAAAAAACGCGAACUUGGGUGCUGGAGCUCGAGUGCGCAAGAAUGGAUGAGCAAGGAGGAAGAAGGCGUGGGUAAAAAGAGGAAUCCUUGUCCCUUUAUAGGAGCGGAGGAAACUAUACGCCUCCCCACCUUCCUAGUAAAACUUACUUAUUCCCCAAGCGCCGUAAUUGAUGGUGCGGUUGGGUUACCCACAUCCGUAUUGAUGAGAAUCCCGUGAUAAGGGGACACGAUCUCUGCUUCGAAAAGACGUGCCAAGAAAACCGCCUCGCAAUAUGUGCAGUAGCUGGUUGAGAAAAACGGUUCGAAUAAUGACCGGGCCGUGGUAUGAUGUCAUGCUGCCAAACGUGUCAGCAGAUUAGAUUUGUGGAAAUAUUAUUCUCUCUACGGCGGUAUGUGGAACUUGUUUUGCAGAGCCGGACACUAUCCUUGUGUUCAAGAUCUUCUAUGGAGUAUUCGGAGGAAGAACCCGCCUUGCAAUGCCGAAGACAAAUCUGCGCGCCGGACUCAUCGUCAUUGAAGCCUGGUUCAGGGGCUACCGAGGGAGUCCUGGAUUAGGGGGUCCUCGGACAGCCGGACUAUAUCCUUUGGCCGGACUGGUGGACUAUGAAGAUACAAGAUCGAAGACUUCGUCCCGUGUCCGGAUGGGACUCUCCUUGGCGUGGAAGGCAAGCUUGGCAAUACGGAUAUGUAGAUCUCCUCCCUUGUAACCGACUCUGUGUAACCCUAGCCCCCUCCGGUGUCUAUAUAAACCGGAGGGUUUAGUCCGUAGGACAACAACAAUCAUACCAUAGGCUAGCUUCUAGGGUUUUAGCCUCUAUGAUCUCGUGGUAGAUCAACUCUUGUAAUACUCAUAUCAUCAAGAUCAAUCAAGCAGGAAGUAGGGUAUUACCUCCAUCGAGAGGGCCCGAACCUGGGUAAACAUUGUGUCCCCCGCCUCCUGUUACCAUCCACCUUAGACGCAUAGUUCGGGACCCCCUACCCGAGAUCCGCCGGUUUUGACACCGACAGUUAUCAUUCUGUAUUAGCCUCCUUGGAUUCUUGGUCGUUGUUGGAUAUGUACAUGCGACUCACAAGUUUGUGAGCAAAAGGUAGUGGGGGCACCUACCAGUCGUAGUCCCUUUUAUCCCCUACAUCAGAGUGGAUGAAUUCGUCAGCUCCGUCGGGCGCCCUCCUGAACCCGCCGACCAUCAUGUAUGCCGCAGGUGUUGCCUUGGGUUCUGUACCCAUAAACACACAUCGGGGGUAAGCUAGGGUUUUCACGAAAGAAAAAGAAGCAGCAGCAACAAGGAAACAAAUGGGUGUGUCCGAGCUCGUCCUUGCCGGCUGGUGGUGGCGGUAGGAGGUUAGGGGGGGUCUAGCUGCAGCAGCCCGUCCCAGGCCGCGAUGUCGUCGGAGAGCAGCAUCCCCUUAUCGCAGCGACAGUGCAUCUCGACGCAAGCUCCUUCCUCCUUGUCAUUCUCCCUGAUGACCGCCCCCAGCGCCGCCACUCCAUCCCAAUCUAGAGGCCCUGCAGCAACAUCAUGGUGGGUUCAGGGGAGAGAGGCUUGUGGUGGUGCGCCCCGUAGGCUCCGCCUACCAAUCUGAAGACCCUCCACCACCAACAACAAGGCCCACAACCUACAGCCAUUCGGCCUACCCGGGAGACGGCUAAGUCAGAAUUGAGCACCUAAUCGAAAUCGACGACCUCAAUCGAUUCUCAGUGCUCCAGCCCCUAGGGAGCUUAGUGAAUUAAGGGAUUACAAAAGUUUGCUGGCAAAAAGGAAAAAGCUUCACAUCACAAAAGGCUCCUUUAUACUUUUUCUUUUUUAGGGCAUGGAUACUCUCAUAUGCAACGAGAGUGUUAUUUGUGAUUAAGCGGAUCCGGAACGAACGUAGUGUGUUCUUCUCCGAUCACCUCAUCGAGCGAAUCUCCGAACCUGUAGAGAUCAGGACAUAGUGCAAUAGGGCGAUGUUGACAAAUCAAUUCUGGGUUAGGAACCUUUGGGAUUAGAGUAAUAACACUGUCAUUUAGUCCCAAUGGGAGCUCACCCUUUCUCUCCUAAUACUUUCACAUGCAGUUCUCGGACAUGUUUUCAAAAGAGAAUGUAUGCCAAUCUUUUUACACGGUACAACUAGUGCACCGGAAAUUGGAAAAAGAUAAAUGUAAGAACGUUUGGACUAGACCAAUAUGCUACUUUGGGCUAAGAUGGGGCCUUGAGGUUUGCUGGUGGGCCAACGACGUAGGGGCCGGGUGCUCAAAGUCCAUGAGAGAGGCAUGCAUGAGACGACGAUCCACCAUCCAUACCAUUCUAUAAUAAAGGGGCUAUUGCUUCUCGUGAUACCUCAUUAAAACUGCCCCAAAAAAUACAAAAUAUUACUCAUUAAUGCCACCUAUAAGUGACAAAAGCUGGUUUGCAGGGAAUCCCCGCCUGGGUUGGCCCAAGCAUAGGGACAUACUAUACUGUGCUCUGCGCGCUGGAGAAGACACAACGCGCCCGUUUGGGCCGGCCCAUGUGCAGGCGUGUAUUUUUCUAGUUUUGAUUUUGAUUUUGAUUUUUAUGUUUAUGUUUUUUCUAUAUUUGGAACUUCAAAAAACAUCAAAAAUUUAAAAAACUUAGUAUUUUGAAAUAAAAUGUUCAAGAAAACAUACAAUGUUUGUGAAUUCAAAAAAUGCUCGGGAUUAUGUUCGCAUAUAAAAAAUAUUCCGAAAUUUUGAAACAAAUGUUCAUAAAAUCAAAACAAGUUCAUUAUUUUGAAAAGAAGUCCGUGUAUUAAAAAUUAUUGAUGAAAUUGAACAAAAUGUUUGCUAAUUCACAAAAAUUUCCUGCAUUUUAAAAACAGAUCUUGAAUUACAAAAGAGUUUAUUGAUUCAUAAAAUGUUUGCUGAUUCAGAAAAUGUUCAUGCAUUCAAAAAAUGUUUGUGAAUUUUAAAAAACAUCCACCAAUUUUGAAAAAUGUGCGUCUAUUCUAGAAUUGUUCGCCGAUUCAAAAGAAAAUGCUUAAAAACCGUUCGCAAUAUAGAAAAUGUUCACAAAUUUAUUUUUUAAAUAGUAAAAAAUGUUCAUGAUUUUUAAAAAUGUUCAUGAAUGAUCGAAGGUAUGUAGUUAAACAGUAAUGCUUAUGAGUCUUUGUGACUAUAUACCCACGUGAAUUUUGAAGAAUUAACUGUUGAGGUGUAUCGGAAUAUUGUAGUAUGUUUUUUUUUUUUUAUAAAAACGCUUCUUGAAAUUCAGAAUAAUUCUUUGAAUUACCAAGUUUUUUGACAACCGCGAUAUUGUUUAAAAAUGUGAACAUUGCUUCAAUUCAUGAAUAAAUUCUAAAAGAAGAAACAUUUUCUUGCAUUUGUGAAUAAAUUUUCAAAAUCAUGCGAUGAGAUGUGAACGAAAUGUGAUCAUCGUCAUUGGAGAUUAUGAUUUUUUUUCCAUCGCGACGCACGGGCCCUUUUGCUAGUCCGGACUAAAAAGAACAUCCACACCAUCCCCUGUCUAAUAUGCAAACAUGUAUCUGACGGUCGAUCUAACUAUCCAAACACAAACACAAGUUUUUUUAACACUAUGCAAACACAAGCACUCAUACAUAAGUUUUUUUUUUAACAAAGACACAAGUUGAUUCGCCCAUCAACCGUCAACUGGUGUUCUAAGAUGAACUAACUCAUGCGCAUGAUGAGAAAACAGGACCAUUAUUUGAACAAACAUGUACUCCUGUUGUUUUUAUUUAGUUUGCAUAUUAGAGUUGACUGAAAUCAAACUUACUAAACUUUGACCAAAUUUAUAGAAAAGAAUAUAAACAUUUUACAAUAACAAAUCUAUAUGAAGUGGAAGUACAUUCAAUAAUGAAUCUACUGAUAUUGAUUUGUUAUUGUAUAUGUUAAUAUCUUUAUCUAUAAAUUUUGUCAAAAUUUAUAAAACCUGACUUUGACCAAACCUAAUAUGCGGAGUAAUAUAAAAACUGAGGGAGUAUUUGACCGUCGAUCAACCCAUCUUCUUGGACCAACUCGAAAAAUAGAAAAGAAAAAAGACUCUUCGAUCGAUCCAACCCUAGAGAGAGAGAGGGGCUCCUCUUCCAUGGCCGACGGCGGUUCUUCUCCAGUGGCGGCUGCGGCGAGAAAGUGGGAGUGGGACCAGGAAGAGUAUCGGUGCGAGCCGGCGGAGUAUUCCGUGGACCCGCGAUACAGCGAGUACGACCCCAAGCAGGGCUGUUUCAUAUGCGUCCGCUACUUCUUCGACGGCAAACUCGACCUGGACGAGGAGUGUACGUUCCCAUCCAAUCCAAUCCAAUCCAAUUCCCCCUUAUUUAGUUCAUGAUUAUGUUCGGUUAAACCUCUUUUGGAGCAGAUUGAGGUGGAUUUUGAUUUAUAGCGGAUUUAAUCCUCCCCAAUCCACUCAAAUCCCCCCUUGCAACCAAACAAGCCUAUCGAUACUUGUUGCCUUCUUUAAUCGUUAUGCCUGUUUAGUUCAUGCUUUUUCUUUUGCUAUUUCAAUUCAAACACCAGCCAGUCAGUAUCACUUCAUUCCUCAAAAUCAAUCGUCUGAAGGUUACUUUCACUUCCUACUAGAUUUAUUCGGAAGCAAAGGCUGCCACUUUCAAAUUCAUUCCUCAAUUAGCCUCUGUUUCACUGUUUGGACACCCACUCCUUUUAAUUACUAUCUACUGUAUUACUAUGCAAAAGAUGACAGCACAACCUGCCUGGAUUGGUUUUCUAUGGAUCUGUUCCAACCAAUUUACACCUACAUACAUACUCUUGCUUUUACUCUCUUUGGUUGAUUGAGAUGAGCUUUCCUCUCGUUUGACAGCACCUGCUGGCCCCAUGCGACAUACUGGUAAAAUCUUCAGAGAGGGGUUCCCGCUCGCAAACUCGGUCAAUGUUGUCUCCAUCAAGAUUGUUUCCUCCGACUAUGGCUACCCACUCAAUGUCUAUGGUACCAUCAUAGCCAGGGACAAUCUUGAUCGAAAAUGUGUCUAUGUAUUCCGGCGCGACCAGGAUGAUUGCCAGCUCAUCAGCUCAAAGGUUUUACUGCCAUUUGCCUCAUUGCUACAGACACAUAGUACAACAUGUCAAUGUGUAUUUUCUUGUACUGGUACUUCCUCAUAUCAGUCCUCUGAUUUACAAAAUAAAAAAAAAC